AUUAGUGCUUCUGGCAAAUCCAAUGAGUUACAUUUUAUACAAAGAGCAAACAUAUUCAAGUAAACUUUUGUUAUUAACCACACAUCCAGAUAUUUUACAGCAAGAUAGUACAUACUUUCAGAAAAACAACCAGGAUUACAACGAUUCAGUACUCAAAAUAUAUUUGAAGUGCCAAAUUAUUUCACAACACAAAACUUAUUCUUGGCGCCCCAACUUUAGUUCGCCAUAGAAACAUAUCAAAUAUCCAUAGCAACGAAUGUUAGAGUUUUCAAGUCAAGGAGAACACAUGAAUUAUGCAUUACAAAAAUAUUGCAUAGAACACUAUGCUAUCUAUUUCAUACCAUCCACAUAGUAUGACAUCUAUAAUAAAGUGGUUACUAUAACCAGGUCAUCAUUUCUCUUAGAGAACUGCAUCAUGAUGGCUUUAUUCUUCAUAAUACCUGCUUGCUCACAGAAAGCCUUCCAUCCAGUCACUAGCACAAUUCUUCCAUCUUUGGGUGGUGCUUUCUUGUAUGUUCCGUCGAUUUAAAGAUUGAAAGUCUUGUACGUUACUAACAAUGUCAUUCCUUCAUUGCAAACAUCUAAUUCAUCAGCAACUUCUCGUGGUAUUUUCUGCAAUUGUGUGUUUUUCAGUUAGUAAUAAACGUUAGAAACAUCAUACAAAUAUAAGAUAUACAUCAUUUCUUGAUUUUCAUAUCAGAGCUAAAAUCAUUACUAUUUUUCCCAUGUCGCUUUGUGUUAUCCUAUGCACAAAUGAAGAAAUCGCGAAAGCACCAUAAGUUCUUACGCAUUAAUUGAACCAAAUUAUCAUCUUCAUCCACCAUAGACGACAACCUCUCGUCAUCACAACAUCAUCUAUAAUACGUUUGACAUCAUCUUCAACACUCUGUGCAACUAAAACAUAAAGAAAAGUAAUCAGUUUCUCAAUUUAUUAUUCGAAAUAAAAAAACACAUGUAUAGUGUGCAAACCUACGAACCUGCUGUCGGUGACCUGAUUUUAAAAACAUUUUCCUUACUUAUGGCAGCAACAAGCAAACCAUAUAUUGUAACUAUAACUAGAACUUUAUCUCCCUCCAAUAGAUUGUAAUCAAAUAGAAACUCGUUCCAUCUAGCACCAUGAAUACUCGUGACAUCAAUCCUUUUAGUCACAUUGACCUUAUAGUGAAAACCUUCAGGGGUACAUAGGACAACUUUAUUUCCUGAGAUGCUAUUUACGGCUUCUCUCAUGUCACAUGUAAUAUUCUGUAAUUGAAAAUAAAUUAACUACAACAACGCAAAUAAAACUAAAAUAAAAUAAAUUUUUCUUCAGACAUAGACAAUUUUAUUACAUACCACACUUUUACAAAAUGUCUGGCGCAGAGUUACUUCAACACAACGUUUUGUUGUUCCAUCAUUACUGCAAUUCCCACGGUCAUUCUUGCAUGUCCGGCAGCAUGACUUCAAACAUUUGCAUGCAUAAACAUGUUAGUGAUGCCAUAUAAAAACUUAAAUUUGUUAAUCCAUAUUUAUUUAUGUGAUUUAAUGUUAGAUAUACAGUAUGCAAUGGAGGAAUUUUUUUUGUGAAAUUCGAGAGAUUAAAAUUCAAACACAUUUAGUGUACAUAAAUUUAAGAACUAGGAAUCCAAUAUUAUGUACAUUUCUCAUAUUAAGAAUCACAUAAUUGGUAAAUGCAUGUGCUUUGUAUAGCUGUCAAGUGGAAGGCAUUAUCUUAAAAAGAUCAACAUUCAAGAGCUACAUGCGCUAGAACACGAACAUUCAUCAAAAAUCGGACAUCAAAGAUGUAUUUUACACAUUUAGUGGAGGUUCUAUAUUAGUUCUUUUGUCAAGUUCUGUUUACAUGGUAUUAAUAUGUAAGAGUGCCAUAGUUGUAUUGAUAUUUUUGUGCUACAUAUAUAUUGAGCAGACAAAAUAAAAAAUAUUACCUACAAGAUAGAAGACGAUAGAAAUGUUCUUACUUCUUCAAUUUAAUAUGCGAACAUAUGUAGACUUUAAUUUCGCUAAUUCUAAGAAGAAAGAACCAAAUAUAUUUUUAUGUAAUUACAAGUAACUCAAAAUAUAAGAACUUACCCUGUAAAUAAUGUCUGUUAUAUAUUUUAAUCUUAUAAUCCCAUUUUGUUCCACAAUCACUAUCAUGCAUCAAACAUAAUAUAGCUGCUAGGGAGCCUACACACGUCACGUUGGCAACCGACAUUCAAUCCUCCUGAAAAUGUUGCUAAAUGGCAUCAAAAUCAGCAUAAACCUACAUAAAUCCUCUCUCUCUCUCUCUCUCUCUCCUGGAAAAGCUCACACUAUUUCACACUAUACUUACCAUUGUAUCUUCUGAGAGAAGACAUCCUGAAACUGAUUCUCCCCUUGUUUAUAACUACGCCACUAGUAACUAAAAUAUUUUUAAAGAAACAAUAAUUCACCUCCUCCACACACUAGUUGGUUAUAAGACACAUGUUGUCAGGCAAUCUUAGAUGUUCAUCAAACACUAAGCUUAAAUACAUCUUGAAAAUAGAUACUUUCCAAGUGAGGAGCUGGAUCGGAAGAUCAUGCGAAGGCACUAAUCGAUGGGCAUGAGAACUGUGUCACUUGACAUGAAGCAACCAUGUAUCAAGUAUUGGGAGGUAUGCAGCCUACGGUUGGCAAGGAAGAUGUCGUAAGAGGGGUUACCAAGGUGCAACAAGGGCGAGGAGGAGGGGCUAGGGCAAAAGUUGGCUAAGGGAGAUGCAAAUAAAUAUGAGGUAAUGAAGGUGGAGCUGGUACCAUGCACCAAUGCCAUUGGUUGGGCCUUGGAAAUUUUCAAUGCCUAUAGUUGAUAUGAGACUUGGUUCUAAAUCUCAGAUUUUAAGCAUACCUAUUCCUCUGCCUCUCCAAUCAUCCUAAUGGACUAAGAAAACAAACCUAGCACAUCGGUAGUUAGAUAGCUGACUUGCAACACUAAUUCAUGAAGCCGAUUCUAUAUGAACAACUAUUUAAAUAAUAGAGCUCAUUGCCUUCAUAUUGACUAUGUCGAACCCUAACUUCAUCCUUGAGCAUUCUACAUUGUUGCAAAUUUCCUCUCUUCCCGGGCAGGCUCACUGUCUAGGUGCAUCCUAGUUCUUGCUACAUGUCUGCGCACUUUCUGAUAGUAGACAACCCACGACACCUUGCCACCAAUGGCUAGAUCAUAUUUGAGAAACCAAGAACCAACACUCUAGUUCAAGAUACUAGAAGGGUUUCAACCUCACAUGUAGCUUAGUAAAAUUUACACCCUGAUACUAAGUUGGUAGAAUUGUCAUUUUCUCUCCUCCAUUUAGUUGAUUUUCUCACUACGAUGGGGGGGGGGCAUAUUGAUGCAUUUUUGUGGUAAUUUUUUCUAUGCCUUGUUAUGUGGUACUUCUCAAGGUAGUUAUUGAGACUUAGUUUCUGCUUAGCUUGGGGCUUGAUCGAAUCCUGCCUCUGAACACUUGGAGGGGAGUGGAUGUGAUAUCUUAAAUAGAUCAUAUUGUUUUGUAACAAUCAUGGCAUAUACCUAACUUGACCUUUAUGUCCAAUACAUUGUAACUAUAAUCAUAGGUGACAAAAUUCUCCCUGCAAAGUUUUAAAAUCCUAGGUCAUCCUAAUAUAUCUAACACAAUCAUGUAUCACUCUAACUCAACAACAAUCCCAAAUCUAGAAUCCAAUAAGCCAAAUCUCACUUCUAAAACUAGAUUGAGUCAGUUGGGGAUGAACUAGGAAAUUGCGAUAGAAAGGACUGGUAGCAUACAGAAGGGGACGCCUUAAUCACUUUCCACAAAAUAAAGAUAUUUAAAUUACAUGUACAACAACACAACUAUCAUUGGAAUAAAUUUAUAAACUUGUAAGGAAGAUCAAACAAACCAAGUGGUUGGCUCACUCAUUAAUUGGUUAAUCCAUGAGAUCAACAACAAAUACAAAUAAUACAUAUGUUUGUCAUUACAUAUUGCAAUGACUUAUUAUCAAUUUUGGUUUUAUACAUAUAUUAACAAUAAUGGUAAUUUAGUAUUACAAUUUUUAGAAAUUUAUCCAAGAACAUUUUUUGAUUUGGUUAUAAAUUAAGUGGCCCCUUAAUUUCUCCAUGGUAAUUAUCAGGGUAGCUAUCGACACUUAAUUUGUUUUCCCCUUACAUAGCUUAAAGUUGUGCUUAAUAAAUGAUAUAAGGGGAAAACAAAUCUAUGAUAAUCUAUUGUCAUUAUAAAUAUUUAAUAAUUUCUUGUAGUACUAUCGUAGAUUUGAUAUAUACAUAUUUCUUUUUGUAGGCGCUAGGCAACAUACCCAUGUUAGAAGCUUGAUUACAUGCAAUGAGUAGCUCUGCCUUCAUUAAGUGUAACACAACGAAUUCAAAUCCCAACAUACACAACAUUCUUAGUAGAUAUUUUUUAUGAACUAGCAAUGGUGUUUGUUAUCUCCCCCCCAUAGUUUGACAUUAUUUUAAUCUAACAAUGCUAUGAGGAACUAGGUCUCCACAUAGACCCUAUUAUUAGGAUCCUUGGGGAUCAUGAGCUCAAAAGGAUCUGGGCCCACGCCUAAGCCUAAUCCACAAUGUGCUCUUAUGUAUAUAUAGGUGUAUGAUUGCAACACUAAAUCAUGAUGUGAUUUUGGUACUAACAUUAUAGCUGAGGAAGGUUGAAAUUUAUAUGCCAUGACCUUUAACAAGGCAUGGCCACAGAGAGUCUUGUGAUGCUAACAUCGACAUAAAUUUUCUAGAGAUGGGUGUAAAAAAAUCUAUAGUGAGCCAGGGUUCCAUUCCAUCAUGUAGGUGAGGAAUGGUUAGCAUGUUACGUUAGGUUUUGUUCACUUGAGAAUUUCCAACAUGAAUGGUUAGUAGCUUGAAUUUAUAGGAAAUAAUUGUAUGAUGAUGGUGUAAGAUAUUAGCUUCAUAAAUGGUAUCUUCCAUAGAUGGUAUUAGUAUUAUAACCUGACAAAGUUUAUAUAAGACACUUUUGUAGAAGUAAAAUAAAACUUGGUCAAAUUCACUACCAUUCAUGGAGGAUGUCCUUUGAUAGGAUCCUUGUCAUCUUACUAAAGUCAUCCCCAUAGUGUUUUUCUACCUUGCUAUUUUAUUAGUGGAAUUUAUGCUAUUGUUUUUAGUGGAGAGUUUUUGUGCGUGUUAAUUCAAAUAAAGUACAGAACCUUCCUUCACAUAAGUCACAAGGAAGGACUCUAGUGCAUGACAACGCAUUCAAUUUUCCCUUGAUUCAAACGAGGUUAGAGAUAUGCUUAAAAUCAAUGAAAUUUAGUUUAUUUCUUUGAACAACUCUCUUAUUGACAAGAUAAUUACCUCUUCAAAUAUCUUAUCUAAUAUCACAAAUAAACAUAGUUACUCAACAUAAUAAGUUAUUAAACAUUACAAUGCAAUGUUAGUAAAUGUCACAUAAGUUACUGACCGAUUGUGAAUGUUCUACAAAGACACACAAAUUCGGAUUUCUGACAUGACCUUGCCAAGUUAAUCUCCUGAUUAAUGAUCCUUAAUGACUCUCGCUGUCGGUGAGGAAGGAUACCCACUCUACGAAGGGGCACACACACACACACAUAGAGAGAGAGAGAGAGGGAGGGAGGGAGAAAGAGAGACGACACACCUGGACCUUAUUACAGGACCCGGUAUAUAAGUACUCCCAAAUCUUGCGCCCUCUGCACUCGAGUAGGAACAUGUAUGGGAUAAGGGCCAGGAUACCUACUUUAGGGAUUAUAUGGUCACGGGAAAUUUUCACCUCAUAACAGCGAAGCGUCUAAUCGUAUCAUAACCAUUGAAGAUUGGUACCAAACUAUCAACCUGGGCCUGGCUAUAUAAGGGCAGUACCAGCCCCCACCAAAGGGUGAAAGAUACAUGGGAGCUCAUACUCAUAUCGUAACUCAAUAGAUAAGAAAAUGUCAUUGUAAAAAUCUAUGGUCAUCAAUAAUCAUAGAUAGGCAUGAUAUAGGUUGUUAUGCAUACGGGGUCCUAAACCAAGGUAAAACGAUUAUGUCAUCGUCAUCACUAAUGAGAACCCUUCGGGCACCAUCCCUCUCUCUACAAUCUUCCAUGACAAGCUUUAAAUCGUAAGAUCAGUGAAGCAUUAUUCAUCAACAGUCACAUCAUAGAAGAAGGCUUGCAUUUUCAUUAGUUGAUAAUGGAAUAAGUGUGACUUACGGGUGUGCUUCCAUGUACUAGUCAUAACGAUUCAGCUAAAACUAGUAUGGAUAGGAUCUUAUAGAUGCAAAAGAAGCAAGUAGAACCUUUUUUGAGAAUUCAUGAUCUCAUAUGCAACCAACUCAGCCAGUAUAACCAUACAAGAUACUCAAUUUUGUACACUCGACUAUAAUUGAUAGCAGUCAAAGCAUCUUGAUACAUGUGUUUACUUACUAACAAAGUUACGACAAGGAUGUCUGGUGUAUUCAUCCGACCUAUGACCAUGGGAGCUUCAAUCACUACAACACUACAACUCACAUCCUUCAUAAAGCACAUUACUGAAGAGGUAAUCAUUAAAAUUGGGCUGGUUAAAAAUUUCACCAUUGCACAUCACUCUUCGCUCCAAUAAGCAGUCUUCGGUAAUUGAAGUAGGACUUUGAGGUUGCAUGAUCCUUUGGGCAUGUUGGGAUACAAGACUUAAAGGAUCAAUCAUGCCUUGUAUUAAAAGCACCUCGAAACGAAGUAUAUUGGUAUUGAAGCAUGCAUUUGAGGCAUUGGUCGCAGGCCUAUUAAGGAGUUCCACUUUUGAUGCAUGUUUCUCCUUCAACUUACAUACUUGGAGGAAGCGUGUCGAACUAAGUAGUUUAUUUACCCCUUUGACCAACAGGGGUGCUUCUAGAGAAAUCAUCCAUUAACAAUGAAUGAUCUAACGUUGGUUGCCUAACACCCAAUGUUGAAGCCAGCAAUCGCUUCACUUGGACACUGCCAUACAUAAACUUUAGUGUGAAAACCAUGAAUGUAUUACUAGUAUGCUACGUGUUUGAAGAUUUGAACUAAGUCGUGCACCUGUACCAGCUGGUCCUGAUUGUUAAUGUAUUUUUUGCUAAUGCCCGACUACACGUAUGCACACAUUAAAACUACUAACAGUUACACGGGAUGAACCUCAAACCCUCACGAUUAGGAGGCCACUUGUAUACAUGUGAUCUUGCACGAAGAUGGCACCAAAACAGGGCACAGACUAGCGUAUGCGUUGGCAUGGUAGCAAGCAACCAGUGAUAAUGAGCAAAGAUCGGAGACGGUCUGGUGGGGCCAUUGGUUGGCGAGGCAAGGUGGAGACCAGCGAGUCAGCAACGCACAAGGCCGCGGGUUGAUUAUGCAAAUGGUGUCGUAGAAAAGGAAGGGCAUGUAUAUAACAAAAGGUAAUAUGUUAUUGUUGUGACUGAAAUAAGCUCUACCAAUCCACUAUUCAGUCCAUCUAAUGUUGUCCAGUUGCUAAUAGAAUAAUUAAUUAGUUUUCUCUUAUGAUCUCCUUAUACCUUUUCUCCUUUAUAACCUCUGCCACACCAUAAAAAUAUUGCUACCUCCGCCACUGCUCACACCCUAAGCUUCAUGGUCAUUUAAAGAUUGGUGUCAAGGAAGCCAUCCACACAUCUUGAAAGACAAUUACAUGGCCUGUAACUCAGUGGUUUUCAUGAUAAGUAGGUGCCUAUGGCACGAGAGGAAUGCUAAGGUCUUCCAUAAUGUGUUGAUUGGUAGUAAGCCCUCAACAAUUUUCAUACAUGAAAACAAUAGGAUAAAAAAUUUGAAGACUUUAUCAAAGUGUAAGAUAAAUUUAAGAUACAUGCAUUGAUCAAAACCAUUGCGGGAAUGGGUGCUUCAUUUAUAGUGCCUAACAAGGAAAGUAUCGUCUUGCUGCCUGGGAGUGUAUUUCCCCGGAUGCCAUCUUGGCUUCCAUGGAGUUUGUGUCGCACAACAAGCGAGUUAUGUUCCUGAAUCUAUGGUUCUUCUCUGCUUAUCUCCUCCAACCCUCGGAACAUGAACGAGGCCUUCCAUGGAACCACCAUCGACUUAUUGCCUAGUCAUGACCCCCAUAUCUGCGGCAUGUAUAGUAGAUUAAUUUCCAGCCCCGUCAACUACGAUGGAACAAUCCCAUUGUCAACUUCCUGCUACAACUUGCAUGCCAUCACUAUUCUUUAUAUUCUAAUGACUUAUUUGUCUCCUAGCACAUACUCAAUGGGGCUUCCUAAUCUAACACGCUGACUAAAAUAGAAUUUUAUUUAUGUUUUAUUAGGGAGGCUAUUUACUGGCCCAUCAAGGGAGAAAGUGAAAGACCCUAUACUAUUUUUCCAUAAUAAAAUUUGUGCUUCAAAUAAUGAAAAUUUGUUUCUUUCUAGGGAUAAUUCUACUGUUGGAAACAUCAUUAGCUUGUCUAAUAUAUUACCAAUUGAGUAUCACAAACUAAAAUAGUUACUCAACUUGACAAGUUCAACAUUACAACACAUUGUUUGUAAAUGUUACACAAGUUCCCAACCAAUUGGAAAAAUUUUACAGACACAUAAAUUUAGAUCCUUUCAAGGGAGCUCACUAAAUUAACAUCAUGGUUAAUGGUCCCAGAUGGCUCUCACAUCAUAGAACAAGGUUGCAAUUCAGUAGUUGAUAGUGCCAUGAGUGUGAACAUAGAGGUUCUUCCAUGCCCUAGCCAUAUUGAUACAUUCGAAGAAAACAUGACAAGAAGUUGUAUAUGGAAAAGAAGCAAUUAGAAUCUUGUCGAAGCACUCAUAAUCCUAUAUGCUGCCAUCUUAACUAGUAUAACUACACAAGAUUUUUAAUUACACUUGACUGGAAUUGAUACCACUCAAAUAAUCUUGAUACAUGUUUUACUUAGUCAUAGAUUUAUAAUGUGGAUAUAAGGUGUUUGCACCCGGUCCCAAUCAUACAGGUGGAAUCACUACAACAUGGCCAGCUAAAAUAAUAUCUUCUGAAGUAUGCAUCGCUAUUCGCUAAAAAAAGAAGGCUUUGGUAAUUGAAGCAUGACUUUGAGGUUACAUCAUCGUUUUGGAAUGUUGAAAAAUAAUGAUUGAAAGAUGGGAGCAUGCCUUGUAUUAAGAACACCCCAAAAAGUAAGAUCUUGGUCACUGAAGCAUGUCUUUGAGGCAUUGGUAGUGGACCAAUUGUGGAGCACCAUUCUUGAUGCCUUUAUGUACUUUAACUUCACAUAUUUGAAUGAACGGUAUGGAUCAAAGUAUUUUGUUUAUCAAUUUUUAUCUCUUGGGGCUGCCACUAGAAGCAAUACUCUAUUAACAAUAAGUGGGCUAACCUUAGUUCUCUAACUCCCAAUGCUUCAUGUUCCUUUUAAGAUUAGUGUCAUGCAUAGGAGCCAAAUGCAGAUCAAGAAACACAAGCUCCAGGUAUACGAAGAAGUGGUUGUAAUGAAGAUUAGGUCCCUAUGGCAUGUGACAAACGCCAGCGUCUUCCAAAAUGAGCAGAUUAAUAGUCAAUCCUCAUCACAAUUCACACUUGAAAUCAAAGGAAGAGUAAAAAACUAAAGACCUUUGCUUUAAGUAUAGGAUAAAAAUGUAGAUAUAUGUGCUAAUCAGGAAAAUUGCAGGUGGAUUCUUGGUUUUAGUACAUACCUAGAAUAAGCCAGACAUUGUCCUUGCUUCUAGGAGUGUCCUACAACUGAGGUGGCUUGGCUUGCAUGGGAGUUUAAAUAGUUCAUGAAAUGACUGCAGUCCCUGGAUCUACGAUUCGCAUCUCCUAUUGCUCGGCCGUUGCUUUGCGCUCAAGGCCAUCCAUGCAACAAGUGAGCGAUUGCGCAUCCAUGAACCCGUGUCUCCAUGGCACGUGCGAUAGAUGUAUUUUUGGCUCAACCAGAUGUGUUGGGAUCAUUAUGUCGCCAACUUUUUGCAACCACAUACCUCACCACUGCCACUAUUGUUGCUUCCGAAGUUCUUUAACUUGUGAAACAAAAUAAAUGUACUUUAAUAUUUUGUAGCACUGGCAUGAAUAGAAGAUCUUUCAUUUCACCAAGCAGGCUAUGAAGUGGCCCAUUAAGGAAUAAAACACAAUAUGCAAAAACAAUUAUGUGAAAAAGGUAAAGAUCUUGCCCAACCCAUUCUCCUUCACUUAGGAGAGAGCAGUCGACACAUAUUUGUUUGCAUAAAUUUACAAACAGAAGUACAAACGACACAACCAAUAUGUCAUUGUGCAUGUGGUUAGGAUGUGCCAUGUCGACCUAUCUAAAUGGGUAAAGUCCUUGUCAGUUGGUCGAGCAUAGCACUCAGGCUAGUGCACCAGCCUAAUUGGUACUCACAUAAAAGGCAUGGAAGUUGGAGGAGACCAAUGCACGGCGCGGUUCGGCAGGACCAAAGGGUGACCCCACCAACGAUCUGAUCCAAGCCAUGCAACCCCAGCCCAUCCAGAUAUAUAAGUAUGGCUAGGGACCUUCUUGGGGCAUCCAAGACAUUAUAGAACACACAGAAGCUAGUGUUUCUCACAUAUUCCCUCCUUUAUACUCUCUGCCAACAGUAACCCAAGCAAUCACUCUCUCUGAUGGUCCUCCCUAUUGUUGGUUAGCAAUCGAGCAAUACAAACUACCAAAGGUAGGAUUAGGGUCUUGCCUUCUCCAGCAGGGUCCAAGCAUGGGUAAAUCCCCUGUCUCGUGUCAUACCAAACUGAUCCUCCUCUUGUACCCCUUCAAACAAAUACUUCAUCGCUCGAUGGCAUUGUAGGUCUCAAAACACCGCCAGUUCACUUAGCAAUUAGGGGGCGGUGAGCAGAGAUCCUUUCAUCGCCUCGGGAUGGCUCUCUCGACCAAGAUUGACGGACGCUCUCUAGGCUAAAAUCUUGACCUCUGUACUCUUUGCUUCUCCUCUAAGAGAGUUGAUUCCCAGAUCCUCGUAGUCCCCUUCACCAAGGGCUAGACUUUUCGCUACAGAGGUCGUAAUUUUGUCAUAGAAAACUUCAACAAAUUUUGGUCCUAUGACCUCGACCCCGAUAGAGUUGAUGGAUCGACAAGCUACGAUUCCGCUCACAAAGUCUUCAUGAUGGAGGCAGGCACGGUAUGAUUGCCAACUUUGAUACCUUUUUUACCCCCAUCACCAAGAAGAACCCGGAGCGGGGCAUCAGCUUGAAUCAGUGCCCAUCCAACUCACAGCCGAAUGGGACAAAUUCAACUACCAAAUAAAUGAGCUCGCGGCCUAGUUUAGCGAGCGGGUGCAAGAGAUGUGCAAUCGUGCUAGUNNNNNNNNNNNNNNNNNNNNNNNNNNNNNNNNNNNNNNNNNNNNNNNNNNNNNNNNNNNNNNNNNNNNNNNNNNNNNNNNNNNNNNNNNNNNNNNNNNNNNNNNNNNNNNNNNNNNNNNNNNNNNNNNNNNNNNNNNNNNNNNNNNNNNNNNNNNNNNNNNNNNNNNNNNNNNNNNNNNNNNNNNNNNNNNNNNNNNNNNNNNNNNNNNNNNNNNNNNNNNNNNNNNNNNNNNNNNNNNNNNNNNNNNNNNNNNNNNNNNNNNNNNNNNNNNNNNNNNNNNNNGAAGAAGAAGAGCAUCCUCAUUGUCGCCUCCCCAAAGUAGAAUCUCCUUGUGCCCGUAAUAUCCAUGGAGGGGAUCUAGAUACCCCCAAGGGCUUUUGGCCAUGACAAGCUCCAUGAAAUAUGCAUGCCGCUUGAGGAGACCAUUGUCCUAUAAGAGCAAUUCUCCAAGUCUAAAGCAUGUUUAAUUUUGGCAAGAUCCAAGACUAGGCACAUGAAGAACCAGCAGUCCUCAGGCCCUUCCGCUCACCGCUCAGGGGCUCCGAUCAUGUCCACAUCUAAUCCCAGGACAUGCACGAACUCGCCAUUGUCUGCCUCCCAUAAGGACAUAAGAUACCCUUAGAAGGGAAUUGAAGAGCAUCCACUACAUGCAGCACAACCCCUGAGCCUUGACACAAUGCGUCCAUUGUGUGGGUGAAACUCUUAGAGAAUACAUUGAGCAUUACUCCCAUGUGAAAAACUAAUUGUUUUGCCGACUGAUGCGGAGGUCAAUCUCCUUAUCCACCAAAAUUGGGUGCCUAAAGAUAUUCCACAAGAUCGGGCGCAUGGCUCUCUGGACAGUGCAAGACCUCCUCGACCUUGCCAAUAGCUAUGUGACCAAAGAUACGGCGGUCUAUAGCAACCAUUACUGCAAGCACAAGCAUGAAGGAGAGGACGACUAGGCCACUACCAUGAAGCGCGGUCCAUCACAUCAUAAUUCCCGAGCAACCACCACCUUCGAUGAAAUCAUGGAUGGGCCCUACAUCUUCCAUACUCCAAAAUCCAGCAGCAAGAUGAGGAGGUACAACUUCUGUGACGAGAUGACGAGGAACAAGGUCCUGCCAUCAUAUUAGGGCAGCAAGGUGAAGAGGUGCCCUAGAGGAUAAGGUGAUACUUUUGAUCUUUGUGGUCGCAGACACUACAAGUCCAAGCACAGGAGCUAGGAAACAACUUGCGAGGUCCUCAUUGUCGAGCAUGUGGUAUCACACUACCUAAGGUGGUCAGACCAGCCAAGGGUCAGUCCGAUCACGUGCUCGGAUCAGGACGUUCCUAGUGGUGGUGUAUCCUAUUCUCGAGGGAGUUAAACUUUCCAAUAUGCUCAUGGAUGGUGGGAGUGGAGUCAGCAUCCUCUACCUAAGACCCUCAAAGGAAUGAGAUCUCUCUCUCUCUCGAAUCAAGACCAAUGGAUUGCCCUUCCAUGGGAUCAUCUCGGGGUAUGAGGAAUCACCCCCUGGAUAGAUUGCUCUUUGUGUGAACUUCGGCAACCAUGAUUACUUUAGGAUGGGAGUGCUUGCUCUUCGCGAUGGUUGACCUCUUGGGCUGCUACUACAGGAUCCUAUCGCAUAUGUAUUACGCCAAAUUCAUGGUGGCAAUCCCUGACUAUGUCUACUUCAAGAUAAAGGUUCCAGGCUCCAAGGGAGUCAUAGAUGUGCGCAACAACUUCGAGAAGGCAUACAAGUGUGAACAGUGUGAACCUCGCUGAUGCUUUGGCCGCGGCAAAGUGGAAGUUCCCCAUGAUCCAGGGACAACCCUUGGGUGUUACAACCCAAGAAAUCCUAGGUCGUAGUUCCACACCCUGAGACCCCAAGGUCUUAUGUGCCACUAAUUCCUUCUACGGCUACACUGAGGGUGGAAUCUAUCAGGACAUGAUUCAAGCGCCUUGGUGAGGAUAUUGCGAAGGUCGCUGAUGAGAUCCUAUUUUUUCCUAGUAAAGUAUCCUUGUACUUUCAGAUUAAAAUAUGUGUUCUCAUAUUCACUACAUGAAUAAAAAGUAGUUUAUCCUAAAUUAUGGACAUUACUCUCUGCUCAAGCCCCAAUGGUUGAAUGCUUUGCUUUGACAGCCACGGUGUGUGCCCACCAAGCAUUCGGGGGAUUGACUUACCUCCCCUUGGUGUAUCUCACCGCCUUCAAUCAAUUCCCACCUCUCUAUCAUCUCUCCUAGGAGCAUGUAAGGUACUCAAAGUGUAUCCCCUGACUCCGACCAACAUUCUAUGCCUUAGAGCUACUACGAGUUGGUAAGAGUGCACACGGAAGGUCCGCUUUACAAAUUAAAGUGCAAUGAAAAACAUGCAAUGGAUACUAAGGGUUUGCUUUUUUAUUCAAGUCAUAUUUUGCAAACAUAACUUCGCACCACGAGUGUUGUAGCUACAAUAAUACCAAGAAGAGACAAUCCUUGAUCUUUCUCAUCAUUUCCUAUGAGAUAGGGACAACUUCCUCUACCUUCAUCGCAGUGAUGAUGCCCCCCCCCCACAAUCUUGUGGUCAGCACACAUGCUUGGUCGCUCAGGGUCACCACCUCUUCUUGGGGAGUCCCUUGGGCAAUCCCCAUCCAACAAUCUUUGUAUCAACCCUCGUGUAAACAGACAUGGCGGUGGUGAUCACUACCUCAGCACCCUAUGUAUCAGCCUCCAUCACAGGUGCCUCAAACUUUGGGGGCUCCACGAAGCGUCUGCUACAAGAACGACGGACUCGGGGACACGCAACCGCCUCACCAAAGUACACCGCGGGCACGAACACCUCCCCCAGCAACUAUGCCAUCUCAGCAAGGGCCCUUUGUAGUUGCCAAACAAGCUACUCUGCCUCGUUCACCUCUUUAGACGGAGUUUUGCCAAAGAUGGAGUCGCAAGAACCCUGGCAAUCUGGUGGAAGAGUUUCUCCAUGCCACACGCAACAUCAAGAUCCAAAUUUUCCCGAGUCGACAGACAACUCGGAUCAAGUGAAAACCCACAUGAGGAGAAGGACAUCACCCUUAACAAGAGAUGUCACCCAUUUCGAUUCCUAAAGAGUGGUGUCGCUCUCCAGCUCAAUAACGCAGUUUUGCUUUGCUAAUGCUUUGAGUUUCUUAUCGAGAUCCAACUCCUUGAGGAGCUUAUUGGCAUCCACCUAGUCGUGCUCCUAUCUAAAGGUACAAGCCUUCAUAGCAUCAAGCUCAUCUCAGAGAGCUCAAUCUAGGUCAUCCUCCUUUAUCAAUCCUAACGAUCUUCUACAAAGAUAUCAUCCAAAAGAUGCUUAAGGACCCUACACUCUCCCUUGUUGGGUGAACCAUCGGCUCGGGGGCCUACACCAAGUACAAGCGUCACUCAAGAAAAUUGGCGAAAAAGGAGGAACUUACAUGAGCUAGAGAAGGAUUGCAAGCUAACUCUAGGUGAAUAUUCCUCAUCAUAUCCAACAAACCGGGGAGUUGAGCAACGCUUCAACCUGCGCCUACAACUCUGCCCCUUGUCUAUGUUUGACUCAUGGUCCAACUUCUUAGCCACAACUAUCAAAUUAAGUUGGCAGGGGAGUACCAAAAGCGCAUCCUUUAUCGUCCAUCCCCGACCUGGUCCCCUCUUGGUUGAUAGGCGCUGUGGAACUUUGCUGGGCACCGCCCGAGAAUUCCACGCCAUGGGUUGGGGGCUCCCGGGUUGGGAGGUCGACAAUUCCUCUUGAAUACACCUUGACAUGCAUUCAUAUGAUGGGACUUCCAUGCAAAUCCUCCAUGGUUGCUGCCAUGCGUGAACUAGACCAAAAUAAUACAAAAACGAACUAGUUAGAAGUCUGACAUAGAGGAUGGAUUAGACAUUCACGCAUAUGACCUAGGAAGCGAAGAGGCCAGUUGGACACUAGGCCGACCACUCCCUCCUCAAUGAUCGCAGGAGAGGACUUCCUCCUUCUCUUUUUCGUGGUCCCUCAAGGGCGACGCUUGGGGGCUUUAUCACAAACAAGGGUCACAUAGGGGCCUGGGCUGGGGCAACCUCCUACCACCCUACCUAUUCUGCGGGGAGGGGAGGUCUAGAUACAGGCCAUGUUUGUUUGGGCUUUUGCUUUUGCUUUUGCAGCUUUUCCACUUUGACCAAAAGCUAUAAAAGCUCCUAAAUAGAUGCUUUUGGAGCUUUUAUGGCUUUUGUAGCAAGCUCCAAAAGCACCUAUUUAUGAGCUUUUAUGGCCUUUUGGCCAAAGUGAAAAAGUUGCAAAAGCAUAAGCAAAAGCCCAAACAAACAGGGCCAUAAAGGUGUCAAUCUAUUGCAAAGCUACCAUAAGCAAGAAAUAAGGUGUGAAAGGAGAAAGAAGCUUGGCUAGCCUAAAUUAUGGCGAACUAAACUCAUCUGGGUAAUGACGAUGUGUGAGUGUGUCACGCUACUUAGUCAGGUCGACCAAUUUGUAUGUCACCAGUUUCACCAUCCUCCUCGCACCUCCUUCCUCCCGAACUCCUCAGACACUUCCUGGGUCAAAUCCCCCAACCCCGCAUAUGACCACAUCAGGCGGCACCUCAGUUGACAGGCUGGACUCACCACCUAAUGAACAUCGCAACAAGGGUCUCCCCCGGAAGGCCAGCCACAUGGAGCACGGCUGCGUGUUUCACGAGCUUCUUUGAUGCAACCUAUUCCUCAAGGUUGGGUCAAGGUUCCCAGGCAUCGCUUGAUGGUGAAGUUGUGAAAGAUCGAUAAUGUAGGGCCAAGAUUUGAACAAUAGAACUAAUCUGGACGCCAACCUUUGUUGGAGGACAAGGUGAAGACUUAGCUACCUCUGCCUUGGCAUCAUUCGAACAUCACGAGAUGUCGGCGCCCUUGGCCUAUUGAAUAUCAUAUUGAGAAGUGCAUGGCCUCUAGAAAUAGAAGGUCUUCCACAAGGAAAAAUGGGGCUCGAUUCCUUGAAAAGCUUCAAAAUAAGUGAUAAAGCUCACCACUUGAGUAUCCCAUUCAGGUUCAAGUGGUGAAGCUCCAGUUAAUAAUGGAGUAUCUUGGGAGGAAGGGUGGAUAGGCAAGGAGAACCCAGUCUCGAAGAAAAGGUCAAAUACCUCCACCUCCCUCUUUCUCUAAGUUUGUGAACUGCUUCACCUUCGGGUACCUUCCAUCAAGGUGAGGAGAAAGCACACCUGCCGCCACCAGAUUAUGUAUGUUUGGCACCAUCGUCUUCAAAGAAGGCCAUGUCAAUAGAUCUUCCUCGUGUGACCUUUGAAUCUCUUCUAUACCAGCACCUCCAACACCCUCCCGUCCACAUCAGUGGGCACCAGCAACUCCACUGCCAGUGACCCCUAGCUCGGUCUCCGAAAUGGGAGACAAUGACAGAUCUACGGCCUUGGGAUCCAUGUCGGGAGCUGAUGGGGAUGCCAUAUACAUUGUCUGGAUAGGAGGGACAUCACAAGGAUGAGAAGUUUAAUAGUGAUGGACAAACGACUGGGAGAUAGAGAAAAGGAGGGGUGUCGCGAGGAAUACAAGGGCACCAAGGGCUCGAUGACCUUACCACACCCCUCCCCAGCCUAUCUUAUAGGUAAGGGAGGACCUAAAGCCUCACGUUCGGGAAGCAAUAUGUUAGCAUCUGUGGGACCGAUCAGGACAUCGGUGGGGCCACCACCGACCCUGUGCAUUAUGAUCGGGAUACAAGACUCGGGGUGGUCGAUUCCCGGAAGUCUCGACUACCAUAUCUCGCCUUCAUGUGAGAGUGAGGGGGGUUAAACAAGCCACGUGCGCUCCCCCAGGCAAGUCAGACACUCGACACUCAGGGGCUACUGACGAGGAUGUGCCACGUAGUCCUGUUUAAAUGAGCAACGUCAUCAUGACCUGGUCGGGUGUAGCACUGAUCAAUCACUCGAGGCUAGGCAUCAGGUCGGGAAACACUCAUGCAAAGGCUUCAAAGUUGCAGGACGCCAAGGCGUGGUGCGGUCUGGCGGAACCGAAGGGCGUGAGCCACUGACAACCCAACCCGAGCCAUGUAACCUCAUUCCAGCUAGAUUUAAAAGGGGGGCUUUGGACCUUCUUAGGGAACGCACAUGAGUUAGGGGUUCUCACCUACCCCUCCUCUUUCCUGUCCGAGGAGAUUGUAACCUGAAAUCACUCUCUCUGACGAUCCUCCUGAUCGUCACUGAGCACUCGAGCGUACAAACAACCAAAGUUGCGCGUAGAAUCUUACCUCCUACCGAAGAGCUUGAACAAGGGUAAGUCCCCAGUCUCGCGUCGUCCCAUCCUGAUCUGCCCCGCGCACCCGACUCCAGACAAAUACGUCAUCGCUCGAUGGCACUACCAGUCUCAAAACACCGACAAUGUGUAUACAAAUAUUGUUGUAAAUGUAAAAUUAGUUUCCAAAAUAAUAUGAUUCACUAGCUUGCCACGUCAGUCUCUGUAUCUAUACAGUAACUAUAAUCACACCAUAGUAGCAAUCCUCCAGUGAAAAGUACUACUAUACAAACUAAGGUAGAAAAAAAUCUCUCGUUAGCAUGCAUCAGUAGCAUGAACAAAGCACAACCUACUCGUUCUCCGAAAAACCAGGAGCCUAGCGACAGGCGACUAGGGUUUUUCGAGGGGAAACGGCGGCGCUCGUUUGAUUCCGAUCGGCGAGGCGCACCCGGGGCGGCGCUAAGAUGAACUCAUCCGGCGCUGGGAAAGGUAAAGAAGGUUCGCUCUCGCCGCGAGCGGCGAGAGCAAGGCUUGAGGAGGCGAUGGGCAAGUUAGAUCUGACUGAAGAAGAAGCCACACCCCUUGUGCUCGACGACGUCGAGGAGGGAGAGCCGGCGAAGUGGUCGCUGGCGGGCAAGGUACUACAUCGACACAUGCUCCAUAUUCAGACGAUCUCCAACGCCCUGCGUCCCGCCUGGGGAAACCCUAAGGGUUUGUGCUUCAACUCUGUGGGAGAAAACACGUUUGUGGCGGACUUUUCCAACAAGCGCGAUCGCGAUCGCGUUUGGGACGGCAGCCCGUGGCACAUCAGCAAGCAUGCAGUAAUACUCUCUGAAUUCUCCGAGUGCAUGCAACCAUCUGAACUCCAGUUCAAUAAUCUGCAGUUAUGAGCGAGGGUUCUUAACCUGCCCUUCAACUUGCGCACCGAUAAGCGGGGUCAAGCAGUGGCCAAACAAAUAGAUCCGAACGCCCAACAGGUGCAGUUUGAUCCCGUGGGGGGUUUUCUGACGGCGAGAGUCACCAUUGAUGUCAGAAAACCUCUGAGGAGGUGGAUCCUAAUAGACUCAGCGGCUCGAGGCAGUCGAGAUUGGUAUGACAUCCAAUAUGAACACGUCCCAAAUUUCUAUUUUUCGUGCGGCCGCCUCGGUCACUCGGACCUGGUCUGCUCCACGCCGGGGACUAGAGACGAAAAGGGCAACCUGCCCUUCUCGACCAGUCUGCGAGCGACAGAGGAGAAAAAGAAGGCCUCUUCUGGUGAGAAUUCUGGGUCAAAUCAGCAUAAUGCUAAGACGAACCGCAAAGAAAAUCCAGAGACCAGCUCAACCAAAGAUGCCAACCCGGAAGUCAAUUCCCCAAUGAAAAAGAACCCCAGCGGGAGGAACAAGAGGAAAGUGGCAUCUCCAAAGAAGGUCUAUAGACCCCUUGCGCUACCCGCACCGGCUGAAAUUGCACAAGAGCCAGUGAACACCACUGCCAUUAUCCCAGUCAAUUCAGCUCAGCCAAGUAGGGGUGACACUUCAGAGGACAUUGUGGAGGAACAAGCACCAAAGAAGAAGAGGGAAACACCCACGACAUCUGAUAAUUCGGCAGGAGCUGCAGGUCAGCCCCGCCGGGAACCAUGAGUUGUUUAAGUUGGAACUGCCGGGGGCUUGGGAACCCCGAGGCAGUUCGAGAGCUUCGCAAUGUGGUGAAGCAAGAAGGGCCCACACUGGUUUUUGUUAUGGAGACGAAAAUCAGAGGAAAACGUGUAGAGGAUCUACACCUUGGGGUUUGCUGGCAGUUUCGCGGUUGACAGUGAUGGCCUCAGUGGAGGCAUCAGUUUGUUUUGGUCCAAUGAUGUGCAUGUGGAGCUAAAAAAUUACAGCAUCAACCAUAUCGAUGUGUUGGUGUGGGACUCGUCAGCGGACACACAAUGUUGGAGGUUUACAGGGUUUUAUGGCGCUCCGAGGGCAGCCGAUCACCACCAUAGCUAGCGUUUUCUCAGAACCCUGCAUGCCAUUCCUCAUGAUUCAUGGUUGUGUGUUGGGGACUUCAACGAAACUCUCUUCGCAGAGGAACAUUUUAGCCGCUCCCCCCGCCCGGAGUGGCAGAUGAGAGCGCUUCGAGAAGCCACAAGCGACUGUGCGUUUCAAGACCUCGGUUGGUCAGGUAUUCCCUACACUUGGGAUAAUCGACAAUCAGGGGAUGCUAAUGUUAAGGCAAGGAUCGACAGAGCUUUCGCAAACGAACAAUUCAGGCAACGAUUUGAGCAUACGCGAGUUUGGCAUGUGUGUGCGGUGGAGUAGGAUCACUGCUUCGUCCUCACUGAUUUCAGGCAUCACGCCUUCACACAUCGGCCGCAGGGUACCAAGCAGUUCAGGUAUGAAAAUGUUUGGCAAUCCCAUCAAGAUUACGAUCAGCUGAUUGUAGAUACUUGGAAGAAUCAGGUGCGAGUUCCAGGGCUGCAGGGCAUCGCGGACUCCCUUGCUGGCCUCCAACGCCAACUGGAGCCAUGGGGGGCGCGUGAAUUUGGUAGGUUGUCUAGGACAGUACGUAACCUGAAGACACGCUUAGACAGAUUACGGCAACGUUCAGUGGGUCGGGGGCCUUCAGAUGAAGAGACGAGCAUCAUGAAAAAACUGAGAGAAGCUCUCCGCUUGGAGGAAAUAUGGCUCCGACAACGUUCUCGUGUGUCGUGGCUGCGGGCAGGAGACCGCAACACGGCUUAUUUCCAAGCACAGGCCAGGCAACGGAAACGAACGAAUAAAAUUGCUAGUCUCACUAGGCCUGACGGCUCGGUCUGUGCAAACGAAGAGGAAGACAAAGCUGAAAUCAAUGAUUUUUAUCAGGCUCUGUACAUGACACAGGGAGUCAAUAACAUGGACGUGCUCUUAUCGCAUGUGCCACUUCGGGUCACACCGGAGAUGAACGCGGCCCUAUGUAAACCAUAUGAACCUUCCGAGGUACGCCAAGCUCUAUUUCAAAUGGCUCCGUCGAAGGCGCCGGGAGUGGAUGGUUUUACGGCAGGCUUCGUCCAACACCACUGGAAGCUACUUCAUCAUGAAGUAAUGGAGGCGAUGCUGGAUUUCCUCAAUGGAGGUGAACUACCAUUGGGCUUCAACGACACGUCCAUCACGCUAAUUCCCAAGGUACGUCACCCCCAGAGCAUCUCACAAUAUCAUCCAAUUGCGCUCUGUCCUGUGCUUUACAAAGUGGCAGCAAAAGUGAUAGCCAACAGACUGAGAAGAUGCAUGGAUGACAUAGUAAGUGAGGAGCAGAGUGCUUUCGUCCCCGGACGUUUAAUCACCGACAAUGUACUGGUUGCAUUUGAAAGUGUUCAUACCAUGAGGAGGCGGAAGAAAGGCAAAAACUACACUUGUGCGAUUAAGCUGGAUAUGAUGAAGGCUUACGACAGGCUAGAGUGGCAUUUUUUGGAGGCUAUGCUCUUGAAGUUAGGCUUUCAAGCGAGUCUGGUGAGGCUGAUCAUGAAGUGUGUUUCUUCAGUUCGCUUCUCAGUGUGCGUAAAUGGGGAGCUGCAACCAUACUUUAACCCAUCGAGAGGGUUGCGACAGGGCUGCCCAGCUUUGCCAUACCUAUUUCUCCUAUGUGCCGAAGGAUUCUCAUCCCUUCUGAAAUAUUACGGACAGUUCAUCGACCGUGGCAUAAGAGUGAAUUUCAGAGCACCAUGUGUGAGUCACCUCCUUUUUGCUGAUGAUAGUCUCAUCUUCAUCAAGGCAAAUGCCGACAGUGCAGCAAGGCUUAAUCAAAUUCUUGAGAUCUACGGUGAUGCAUCUGGACAAAGUGUUAACAGAAGCAAGAGUGCUAUAUACUUCAGUCCAAACACUCCAGAAAAUCUCAGGCAGAAUCUGAAACUUCUCCUUGGCGUGCAAGUGGAAGCAUUCUCAGAAAAGUAUCUCGGUCUACUCACUGCAGCAGGCAAGAUUAACAGUGGGACUUUUGAACAUUUGGGCGACCGAGCUCGGGGAAAGAUGAAUGGAUGGUCAGAGCGGCUUUUUGCAUGUGCCGAAAGGGAGACACUUCUCAAAUCUAUCGUGCAAGCGAUCCCGACAUUCAGCAUGAGCGUUUUCCUCUUGACAAAAAAGGUGUGUAAGAGUUUGACUUCAGGCAUGGCGAAAUAUUGGUGGGGAAGUUCCCUCGAUCGUGGAUCCUUACACUGGUUAGCCUGGGAUAAAUUGGCUACACCCAAACCCAGUGGGGGGGUGGGUUUUCGCGAUAUGCGAGUUUUCAACUUGGCUCUCCUGGGAAAGCACCGAUGGAGAUUUAUGACCAAUCCGGAUUCACUUUGCGCCAAGGUUAUGAAAGGUAGAUAUUUUCCCAACUCUGAUUUCAUGCAAGCCUCUGUGCCAAAGUCAUCUUCAGCUGUUUGGAGAGCGAUUGUAUCAGGCCGGAAAGCACUAAACACAGGGCUUGUGAAGAGAGUGGGCGAUGGAUCUUCUAUUCGGGUGUGGGAGGACAAGUGGAUCCCAUCCACCAACACCAUGACCCCCCUGCUGCGACCAUCUCACACGGCAGUCCAAACCGUCAAUGACCUCAUUGAUACAUCUAAUUGGUCAUGGCGUCGUGAUCUAGUUCGAGAGACCUUCAUUGCUCCGAAUGCUGCGGCAGUGCUAAACAUUCCACUGCGGCAUGGAGGAGGGGAGGAUUUCUUAGCCUGGGCACAUGAGAAGUCAGGCAUCUACUCUGUUAAAUCGGCGUAUCGAGCUCUGAUGAAUCAAAAAGAGCGACUAGCUCUAGAAGAGGGGCAGAUUACCGGCACUUCAAUGAAUCAACAACAGAUGUGGAAGGAUGUUUGGAAGCUCAAUGUAGUCCCAAAAGUAAGAGUUUUUUGGUGGCGGGUGUUAAGGGGCAUUUUACCAGAUGAGAGCACCUUACACCGUCGUCAUAUUCGACAAACAAGCACCUGCAAGGUCUGUCUCGCCAUGGAGGAGGAUUUGGAGCAUGCGCUGCUGCUCUGUUCCCAUGCACGCCGGUUUUGGGAAGAAGCCCGGUUGCUCUUCGACAUCCAUAUCCCGCGGCUGCACCCACACACAUGGGCUCGAGAUAUUUUAUGUGAUCCUCGCUUCUCCGAGAGAGAACGAGCGAUCAUCAUCAUGGUUAUAUGGGCUAUUUGGAUGUCGCGCAACCGGUUGACACACGAUAGGGACGGGAUGGAUCCAGCCAGUUCCGUUCGAAGAAUCAGGGAGGACCUCGCCAUCCUAGAACUGCCUAAACAGUUCAGCUUGGUACUGCCUGGUUAUGGUUGGCAACCACCAGUUGAUGCUACCAUCAAGAUCAACACAGAUGCGGCUACACAUUUGGAUGAUUUGCAUGCAGGAGCAGGUGGAGUUGCUCGGUCUUUCUCGGCUCUAAAGGGCGCAUGGUGCAAGCCCCUUCCCGGAGUUACGGAUCCCCUCAUCGCCGAGGCCCUAGCUCUCAAGGAAGGUGUGAUUUUUGCUUCCUUACGCGGCUACACACAUGUGAUCUUAGAGACCGACUGUCUAGAGGUGGUUAACCUCUGGAACUCGUGCCUCACCGACCGUUCGGUGAUAGCACCUAUUCUGGCAGAAGUUGGAGAGCUCUCUCUUAGUUUUUUCUCUUUUGUAAUUCAACAUGUAUCGAGACCAGCUAACGGUCCUGCACACCUUUGUGCUAAGCGACCUUGUUCGCUUAAUGUGACCGAAAGCUGGUUGGACUCUACCCCUAGCUUCCUGAUCAGCAGCCUCCUGGCUGAUUGCUCGGCGAAUGCGUUUUGUUGAAUAAAGCUCUCAAAUUCCCCCGCAAAAAAAAACAAAUCUCUCGUUGAGUAUAUACGUAUAAAGUGGUAGCAUUAAUGUGGUACCAACUGGGCAGUUACUAGGCAAUACGCAUGCAUAGCAAUAAAUUAAUUACCUAUUUAAAAUAUAUAAUCCACGAUUUUUAUGAUAUAAUCAAUCAUAUACGGUGCUGGCAUGAAUAACUAAUUAAUUACCUGUGAUUGCAACACGUCGAGAGGACUGCUGGCAGUAUCGUGCUCCGAUGCCUCUUUGUCCUUGUACGUCCUGACGCCACCAGAUGCCGUUUGCACGAACUCUUCAACAACAUUGGACUUUCCCUUCUGAUCCAUCUCUCUGCAAAUAUUUACACAUCAACAAACCGUAAAAAUUGAUUUUUAUUUCUCACAAGAAAACUACACGAACAUGUUCAGUCUACUCCUACCGGAGUAGUAGGUAGAAACAAGAGAAAGAAACAUGUGUGUAAAGAAAUUUAAUCAGCACGUAUAUAUAUAGUACGAAAAUCAGAUCUAAUUCUCUGUUGAUAGAAGUAUGAAAAUCAGAUCUAACUAGCUACAAAACCACAAGUCCAACAAAAAUGAUAGAUGUAGAUAAAAUAUUUGCUGUAUGGGAGUUCUAAUCAGCGAAUAGAAAAUUAAGCACGCCCAAGAUCUGAUCUAAUCAGCGAAUAGAGUUCUAAUCAGCGAAUAAAAUCAGAUCUAUCGCUGAAAACAUCAGGGACAUCAGACAUGAACAGAUCUAGUUAAGAUGCACGACAUAUAUUUCGCAAAAAAAGAUGCACGAGAUAUGUAUGUAUUGCUUGCCUUGCUUGAAUUAAAGGAGAAUCCGGCGGAGUAUACAGCACGCAGUAGAGGCUCUUCCGUGGUUCAAAGCAAACACCGACUAGGGAGCCGCUGUCGUAACCAGCAGAGGAUUUUCUCUUGUUCAAAGGAACACGACUAGAGCCCGGAGGAGGGGGAUGAGUGUACAGAAUGACUUGAGAAUGAGACUUAGGAGCGGGCGAGAGUGAGAUAUAAGCCGGGCCGGGGGUGGUGCAUAGACCACGUUUCUUCUUUUUGCGGGGUGCAUGUACGUUUCAACUCGGGAGUGGAAUUAGAAGGCAGAAGAAUGGCGUGAGCAUAGCUGUUGCCAUGUGUGUGCGAAGCCAGGGACUAGGCGUGCGUGCGUUACCACAGCACUUUUCCUUGCAUGCAACACGCGUUGGCCCAUCACGUACGCACAACCAAAUUGACGUUGCUGGUCCCCUGCUAUGGCUCUGCUGGCUCCGUCCGUCCCCAGAAACGACACAGAGAAAAGAAAUAGCGCAUUCAUGUAUAUACAAUAAAUACAAAGAUACAUGUUUAUCGAUCGAUCGGACACAAGAUGUUCCAUGUGAUGUGAUGUGGGCAAGAAUUCGGUUCGAGCUGCUCAUAUUUUAGCUAAGCUAGCUGUAGGUGAGGAGUGUUGUCAGGAAUGGCGAGGUGCACCUCCUGAUUGUAUAUUGCAUGUAUUAGCAGACGAGAUCCCCAACUUUAUUUAAGUAAUGAGUGUGUUUCCACUCAAAAAACUCAAAAAAGAAGAAUUUGGUUCGGAAAUUAAAAAGGGGGAACUGAGAUCAUGCAGCAUGGAAAGAGCAACCGGCGUGAUUUCCCUUUUCUUUCUGAAAUCAGCCACGGCCAAAUGUGUCCUCCAAGGACCAGAUGUUUUUUUGACAUGUUUGUAAAUUGACUGGCCACUGAAAAAAUUUCAGGCGUUAGUCACCUUUUUAUCGGCAAAAAAAAAAGUCACCUUCUUUAAGCGCAGCUUGGGAGCUCCCAGGCAGGGCGACGGUAAGACAUGGAGCCGCAGGCGAGACCGAGAAGGGAGCGAGACGGAGCCAGCAAUGACACAGUUGGGCGUGGUGUCGCAAGCUGAGACGAGUCCGGGGCUUGACGAAAUACAUGGGGGGGGGGGGGCAUUUCGUGGUCACACCCACCCAUUCAGAUUAGAGAGUUGCCGACGUGCUGAGACAUGAACUCACCAAAAGCAAGGCAAGGGUGGCGCUGGUGGGAGCAGGAAGAAGAUGAACUUCACUUUUCGCAUUUGGGUAUAAUUGUGCCAACGGCCUCUUAUUUAUUUUUCUAGACUUGAAUUUCUUGUUUGGAUUUGAUGGUUGUUUUAUUUAUAAAGCGGCAUGAAUGCCUAUUCCGGGAAGAUGAACAGAGGACGAAGAAGGAACGGUUGUUGGAUUUCAACCCAAUGGUCUUAGCGUAUUUCACUGAACGGUAGAAAAAUAUUUUAGCGCAUGAUAGGUAGUCACUCCCUUUGUUUGAUCCUACCAUGAAAAAUAGAUUUAUAUUUGUAAAGAAUAAAUUCCAAAAAACCCUUGCAAGGGCGUUGCAUGAUCAGCUCUACACUUGGGGAUCUUUUGAACAAGCGUUAUGCAAUAGCACUAUAUUUUAUUUGAGAUUUUUUUGGAAUUUUCAAUUUCAGGAAGUUCAGGAGAGCAAAAUGAUGAAAAAAUUGAACUUCCGGCGAUGAUUCAAACAUUCAGAAUUUUUCAACUUUAGAAAAGUUAAACUUCCAGAUUUUGAACUUUCAAAUUUGGAUAUUUUAAAAUCAAGAUUUCAUAAUGUUGGAGCUUUUCAUAGUAAAAAAGUUGAGAAAAAAAUGUCGCAUGACGGCCCCCACCAGAAAAAGGAAAAAAAAUGAGAGAGGAGAGACACUGUGUGGGACUCACUAGGACACUUCACCUCCCUCCGGUGUUGUGUCGAAUAUGUUGUGUGUACUACGAUCGCUAUCCGAUGUGUGUACGACACAAAUAUGGAGCAUACAAAUUCAAAAUGAGAAAGAAAUCAAUGAGCCAUAUUAUGAUAGUUACCUGAUUCGCUCAAACCAUUGACGAACUCCGAUCUAGAUUGAUCACUCAAUUCGUUCCCGAUUUGUGACCCAAGGGCGAACCCAUAGGAACAUGGGUGUCCUUCAUGACCUCAUCGUUGCUGCUAGACCGUGCUAUCUCCGUCACCAUUAAUUGCAGGCAAGAUGGAGUAUCGGUCAACUAAUAGCACCGUCAAGGAGAGGCAUGGAUGUGUCGCUGGGAGAUGGGAAAGAGCAACAACCGGUAUGGACCAGCAUGCACACGACGCUGAGAAGACAUGGGGCAACCAGAAGCAGUUCGGUAGAAGAAGGUCGUGGGGCUUGGCUGGAGGAAGGAAGUGAGGAGUGGCGGUAGGUGGUUUCGCUCUCAUCAGCUUAGGGCAUGUACAACAGUAUAUAGUCAGCAGUCUGUAAAAUGUGCCAACUAGGAUUUUCAACCACGUGGAAGAGAGAGACGGAGGAAGGAGAAGGUGCCCGUCUGUAGAAAUAAAGACGGUAGGUUCCCAUAAAAUCGGCUGGUUACCAACACCUUUUUUACCGUUGUAUGGAUAGGUCGCCUGUUACGCUCCUAGAAAAACUUAUUUUCUCUUUUCUUUAUGUGCGAAACUAACCUCAUCACAACCAAAACUCCAGAUCAUGGGUGGAUGCGCCAGAUCGUCUAAUAGACAUCGUAUUUUACCGGGCGUCUUCUGUACCGUCUAUAAAGUGACGUGGAGGUAAUCUAUAGACAACGGCUAUCUAAACUGAUGUACAUGCCCUUAUCGGGGAGGUUGGACAGAAAUGGGGAGGGACUUCAACAGUUCAAAUCACUAUUCCAGCAUCCCAUGGUUCUUAUCAUGGGAGGGGAGUGACACUAGCUGGGGCGGCCCAACUGCUUGAUCAGACGUUUUCUCUUGAUCUUUUAUUCUUACAAAUAUACUUCCAUCUUUCCCACUCAAAAAAAUAAUAUGUCAUCUUUGAUUCACAAAACGUAAUCACGAAUACCAUUGAGCCGAUUAACGAAUCCUAUGUCCGAUUUGUGAAUCAGAAAUGUAUACUCCCUCCAUUUACUUAUAAAAGGCCACUAUGGAAAAUACACUUUACAUCUAUACAAGGCCAUCAACAGUAAUCGAGACAAAAGUUAAUGAUAUUUUCUCAAAAUAGCAAACCUAUUUAAUACUUUGCAUGCAUGCCAUCAUAAUGACACUUCAAUCAGCUUUUUAUUCCUUCUUUAUAUGCAUGAUGUAUUAAUUUGAUGGAAAUAUGCCCUAGAGGAAUAAUAAAGUUGUUAUUUUAUAUUUCCUUAUAUCAUAAUAAAUUUUUGUUAUUCAUGCUAGAAUUGUAUUAACCGGAAACUUGAUACAUGUGUGGAUACAUAGACAAAAGUCGGUGUCCCUAGUAAGCCCUACUAGACUAGCUCGUUAAUUAAAGAUGGUUAAGUUUUCUAGCCAUAGACAUAUGCUGUCAUUUGAUGAAUGGGAUCACAUCAUUAGAAGAAUGAUGUGAUGGACAAGACCCAUCUGUUAGCUUAUCAUAUUGAUCGUCCAGUUUUAUUGCUAUUGCUUUCUUCAUGUCAAAUACAUAUUCCUUCGACUAUGAGAUUAUGCAACUCCCGGAUACCAGAGGAAUGCCUUAUGUGCUAUCAAACGUCACAAUAUAACUGGGUGAUUAUAAAGAUGCUCUACAGGCAUAGAUCGAGAUUAGGGUUCGUCACUCCGAGUAUCGGAGAGGUAUCUCUGGGUCCUCUCGGUAAUGCACAUCAUAAGAAGCCUUGCAAGCAAUGUGACUAAUGAGUUAGUUGCGGGAUGAUGCAUGAUACGUCUCCAACGUAUCUACUUUUCCAAACACUUUUGCCCUUGUUUUGGACUCUAACUUGCAUGAUUUGAAUGGAACUAACCCGAACAGACGCUGUUUUCAGCAGAACUGCCAUGGUGUUAUUUUUGUGCAGAAAUAAAAGUUCUCAGAAUGACCUGAAAAUCCACGGAGACAUGUUUUGGCAUUAAUAAAAAAUAUUGGCGAAAGAAUCAACAUCAGGGGCCCACACCCUGUCGAUGAGGGUGUAGGGCGCGCUCCCUGCCUUGUGGGCCCCUUGGGACUCCACCGACCUCAACCCCAACUCCAUAUAUUCACUUUCGGGGAGGAAAAAAAUCAGAGAGAGGGAUUCAUUGCGUUUUACGAUACGGAGCCGCCGCCAAGCCCUAAUCUUCCUCGGGAGGGCUGAUCUGGAGUCCGUUCGAGGCUCCGGAGAGGGGAAUCCGUCGCCAUCGUCAUCAUCAACCAUCCUCCAUCACCAAUUUCAUGAUACUCACCGCAGUGCGUGAGUAAUCCCAUCAUAGGCUUGCUGGAUGGUGAUGGGUUGGAUGAGAUUUACCAUGUAAUCGAGGUAGUUUUGUUAGUUUUGAUCCCUAGUAUCCAUUAUGUUCUAAGAUUGAUGUUGCUAUGACUUUUCCAUGCUUGAUGCUUGUCACUAGGGCCCGAGUGCCAUGAUUUCAGAUCUGAACCUAUUAUGUUUUCAUGAAUAUAUAUGAGUUCUUGAUCCUAUCUUGCAAGUCAAUAGUCACCUAUUAUGUGUUAUGAUCCGGCAACCCCGAAGUGACAAUAAUCGGGACCACGGUGAUGACCCUAGUUUGAGGAGUUCAUGUAUUCACUAAGUGCUAAUGCUUUGAUCUGGUACUCUAUUAAAAGGAGGCAUUAAUAUCCCUUAGUUUCCAUUAGGACCCCACUGCCACGGGAGGGUAGGACAAGAGAUGUCAUGCAAGUUCUUUUCCAUAAGCACGUAUGACUAUAUUCGGAAUACAUGCCUACAUUACAUUGAUGAACUGGAGCUAGUUCUGUGUCACCCUAUGUUAUAACUGUUGCAUGAGGAAUCGCAUCCGACACAAUUAUCCAUCACUGAUCCAUUGCCUACGAGCUUUUCACAUAUCGAUCUUUGCUUAGUUACUUUUCCGUUGCCACUGUUACGAUUACUACAAAACUGCUACUGUUACUUUUGCCACUGUUACCGUUACUUCCAUAUUACUUUGCUACUAAAUAUUUUGUUGCAGAUAUUAAGUCUUUCAGGUGUGGUUGAAUUGUCAACUCAACUGCUAAUACUUGAGUAUAUUCUUUGGCUCCCCUUAUGUCGAAUCAAUAAAUUUGGGUUGAAUACUCUACCCUUGAAAACUUUUGCGAUCCCCUACACUUGUGGGUUAUCAAGACUAUUUUCUAGCGCCAUUGCUGAGGAGCAUACCUCUAUUCUUUGAGUCACUUGGGAUUCAUAUCUAUUGAUCACUAUGAGGAACUUGAAAGAUGAAAGAAGAUUUUUCCCUCAACUACGAGGGGAGGUAAGGAAAUGCCAUCUAGCUCUGCACUUGAUUCAUGUUCUGUUUUAAGUAAACUUGCGACACCUGCACCUGCUAUUGAUUCUGAUAUGUCGCAUGUUAUUGAUGAUGCCACUUCUGCUAUGUAUGAUGCUUAUGAUGAAACUACUUCUAUGCUUGAUAAUACUGUGCCAUUAGGUGAAUUUCUUCAUGAACAACUUGUUAGGGUUAGAGAGAAACUGAUGAUAUUAAUGAAAGUGAUGAUGAAGAUUCCCCCCCUAGAUAUGAAUUGCCUGAUGUACCUGAGGGUUAUGUUAUGGAUGAAGAAACUGCUAGAGACUUUCUUGCUUGCAAUGAUAGAUAUGAUCUUAAGAAACUGUUAGCUAAGUUGAAAGAAAAGUCUCUGAAUGCUAGAAUGAAAUAUGACCCUGCUUUUGCUAAUUCACCUAUCUGCGUUACUGAUAAGGAUUAUGAUUUCUCUGUCGAUCCUGAGUUAAUUACUUUGGUUAAAUCUAAUCCUUUUUAUGGCUAUGAAUCUGAAACUGUUGUGGCACAUCUUACUAAAUUGAAUGAUAUAUCCACCCUAUUUAGUCAUGAGGAAAAGAUUCGUUAUUACUACAUCCUUAAAUUGUUUCCUUUCUCACUAAAGGGUGAUGCUAAGAUAUGGUUUAAUUCUCUUGCUCCUAGUUGUGUGCGUAGUCCUCGAGAUAUGAUUUAUUACUUCUCCGCUAAAUAUUUCCCCGCUCAUAAGAAACAAGCUUCCUUAAGGGAAAUAUAUAAUUUUGUGCAAAUUGAAGAAGAGAGUCUCCCACAAGCUUGGGGGAUGCUUCUCCAAUUACUUAAUGCUUUGCCUGAUCAUCCUCUCAAGAAAAAUGAAAUACUUGAUAUCUUUUAUAAUGGACUAACCAAUGCUUCCAGAGACCACCUGGAUAGUUGUGCUUGUUGCGUUUUCAGGGAAAGAACUGUUGAGCAAGCUGAAUUGCUAUUGAAUAAUAUAUUGAGCAAUGAUAAUGAUUGGACACAUCCUGAACCAACUCCUCAACCAACUCCGAAGAAAAAGGGGUAUUCUAUUUCUUAGUCCUGAAGAUAUGCAAGAGGCAAAGAAAUCUAUGAAAGAAAAAGGGAUUAAAGCUGAAGAUGUUAAGAAUUUACCACCUAUUGAAGAAAUACAUGGUCUUGAUAACCCAACAUAGGUAGUAAAGGUAAAUUCUCUCUAUAGACUUGAUGAAGGUGAUAUCCCUCGUAUAAGUCUGCUAGUCAAUGCUUGGAUGAGUUUGAUAAUUUUAUUGUUAAACAAGAAAACUUCAAUGCUGAUGUCGGUAGACAAUUGAAACAUGAUACGUCUUCGUUGUAUCUACUUUUUGAAACACUUUUGCCCUUGUUUUGGACUCUAACUUGCAUGAUUUGAAUGGAACUAACCCGGACUGACGCUGUUUUCAGCAGAACUGCCAUGGUGUUAUUUUUGUGCAGAAAUAAAAGUUCUCAGAAUGACCUGAAACUCUACGGAAGUUAUUUUUGGAAUUAAUAAAAAAUACCGGCGAAAGAAUCAAGACCAGGGGCCCCACACCCUGUCCACGAGGGUGGAGGGCGCCCCCCCCCCUUCAGGGCAUGCCCCCUGCCUCAUGGCCCCCCUGGUGCUCCACCGACCUCAACUCCAACUCCAUAUAUUCAGGUUCAGGGAGAAAAAAUAGAAGAGAAGGAUUCAUCGCGUUUUAUGAUACGGAGCCGCUGCCAAGCCCUAAACUCUCUCGGGAGGGCUGAUCUGGUGUCCGUUCGGGGCUCCGGAGAGGGGAAUCCGUCGCCGUCGUCAUCNNNNNNNNNNNNNNNNNNNNNNNNNNNNNNNNNNNNNNNNNNNNNNNNNNNNNNNNNNNNNNNNNNNNNNNNNNNNNNNNNNNNNNNNNNNNNNNNNNNNNNNNNNNNNNNNNNNNNNNNNNNNNNNNNNNNNNNNNNNNNNNNNNNNNNNNNNNNNNNNNNNNNNNNNNNNNNNNNNNNNNNNNNNNNNNNNNNNNNNNNNNNNNNNNNNNNNNNNNNNNNNNNNNNNNNNNNNNNNNNNNNNNNNNNNNNNNNNNNNNNNNNNNNNNNNNNNNNNNNNNNNNNNNNNNNNNNNNNNNNNNNNNNNNNNNNNNNNNNNNNNNNNNNNNNNNNNNNNNNNNNNNNNNNNNNNNNNNNNNNNNNNNNNNNNNNNNNNNNNNNNNNNNNNNNNNNNNNNCCCCCCCUUCAGGGCAUGCCCCCUGCCUCAUGGGCCCCCUGGUGCUCCACCGACCUCAACUCCAACUCCAUAUAUUCAGGUUCAGGGAGAAAAAAUAGAAGAGAAGGAUUCAUCGCGUUUUAUGAUACGGAGCCGCUGCCAAGCCCUAAACUCUCUCGGGAGGGCUGAUCUGGUGUCCGUUCGGGGCUCCGGAGAGGGGAAUCCGUCGCCGUCGUCAUCAUCAACCAUCCUCCAUCACCAAUUUCAUGAUGCUCACCGUCGUGCGUGAGUAAUUCCAUCGUAGGCUUGCUAGACAGUGAUGGGUUGGAUGAGAUUUACCAUGUAAUUGAGUUAGUUUUGUUAGGGUUUACCAUGUACAGACUUGGGAAUCAGGAAGGGAAAACUGCGGCCGUGUUCGGCGUUGGCACCAAUCCAACACUCCCGGAUGGCUAUAUAAAGCAAAGCCGAGGAGGCAACGGGAGCACCAGAAAAACCCACCAGCCGCUGCGGCAAGAACAAGGAGGUAGACCCAGGAGGAGACGUGCCCGUGGCGGCGGAGAAGACGACGCGCCUAGCGGAGGAAACCAGAGGAGCGCGAUGGCGCCCUCGCACACACGCCCAUGGACGACGAGGAUGCAUGUCAAGCUCGGUGGAUACACCGGCGACGACGACGAUGGAGAUCUUUAGGACAUCCAUAUACAUAUAUGCAUCGUUAUUACACAUGGUGGGUUUAUGGUACGCAUAUGUUUUCUCUGAUGUAUCAGGUGCAAUGGGGCGGCGCCACGCACCAAGCAGGCAGUCAAGACCUCACAUACGCACGCACAAGACGAAGCUAGCCACGCACGUCGCAGGCCAGGACCAGAACCUGGUGACGUGCCCCGGCGGCAGCGUCGAGGUGGAGAAGACGCGCCCCUAGCGGCAGCGUCGUCGAUGAAGAUAGGCAGGAGGCGUCGCAGCUAAAGCAGCGGCCGAGAUGACCGCGAUGCAUGCAGGAGGUGUUUCUUGUUGCAGGCAUCAACUAUGUUUUGUUUCUUUGUUUUAUCAGGUUUCAAAGAACGCACGCAUUAGAAGGAUAGAAUGGAGGAGCUAGCGCAACUCACGCACCAAAGAGAUGACGCAUUCAUCAAGCAGCAGGAGGACGGAGCCAUCCAGGCAAGAAGGUGCCGCACAAAGAGAGCAAAAGAGGGAGACAGAGGCAGCCGGCGAGGCAAAAGCACCUCCCGUAGGCUCCUGCACACAGAGAAGACGAGGAGACGCACCCCUGGUGGCAGCGUCGAGAAGAUCGGAGAGCGCGCCCAUGCAGCGGCUUGUGCGCCAAGGGGAUGCAGGCAUGCGGCGAUGACAUCCUCACACGGAAGCAAAGCAGCGACAAGCAGAUGAAAGUGCCCGCGGGAGGACUUCCGGCGGUGCAAUAAUCUUGUUGUUUCUCUAUGUGUUAUUGCAGGAUGGCCAAAGGACAUGUUAAGUUCAUGAUGUACGUAUGCAUCACUACCGUCUUGCGGCGAGGCGAGAACACAUCCACGAGAGCCAGCAACAAGCACACAUCCGCAGGCUCCCGCACGCGCAGAGAAGACGAGGAGAUGCGCCCCUGGCCACAAUGUCAAGGAGAUCGGAGGGCGCGCCCAUGCGACGGCGCGUACUCCAAGGGGAUGCAGUGACGGCAUCCUCACAUGGAAGCAGAGCAUCGACAAGUAGAUGAACAUGCCCGCGGGAGAACUUCCGGCAGUGCAAUAAUCUUUCUUUUUCUAUGCUUAUCAUCUAUUUUGUAGAAUGACCUUCGCACGACGCGCCUAGCAGAGGUGGCCGAGGACGAUGGAGCACUCUUCUCAGCUUUGAGGAGGCGAACGACACGCCCAACGGAGGUGGCCACGGACGAAGAGGCGCUCUUCUCGUACCAGGUGUUGUCGAGGCGACGGACGACACGCCCGGCGGUGGUGGCCGCGGAUGAAGCGACACUCUUUCUCGUACCAGAGGCAAUGAAGACGGCGGACGACGCAGGAAAAGGAGACUACAUCAACACCGUCAGGCCCAUAGCCAACAUCAUCAACCCAGUCUGGAGGCGCAGAGCUCGCAAGGAUUCCGCCAUGUGCGCGGAGGAUGCCGUCGCCGUGCCGCAGUGGAUCGCGGCGCGGAGUUCGCCAAGAUGACGCCGGUGUCAACUUCAUCAAGCCGGCACCAUGGAGGAUGAAGGCAUGGAGGCUCGGGAGGAUGCCGCCGCCGUACCGCGGUGGAUGGCGCCAUGGAGUUCGUCAAGAUGACGCCAAUGUCAACAUCAUCAACCUGGUGCCGCAAGGAUCAUGACGGGGAGCUCACAAGAAGGACGCCGGCCAUCCACUUCGUCAUGUUGGAGCUAGAGGACGGAGGCGUGGCGUCCAUUGAGGAUGCCGCCGACAUCUACUUCGUCAAGCUGGAGCCCGAAGGCACGGAGCUCGCAGGGAUGGUGUCGCGUGCUGCUGAGGAUGGCGAGACGGAGCUCGCUAGGACGACGCCCGUCCUCUUCUUUAUCAAGUCGGCGCCAUGGAGGACAAAGGCAUGGAGGCUCGCAAUGAUGCCGCCACCGUGCCGCCUUGGAUGGCGGCGCGGAGCUCGCCAAGAGGACGCCCAUCACCAACACCCAGUACCGCAGAGAAUCGUGGCGUGGAGCUCGCAAGGAGGAUACCACCAACGUCAACAUCAUCAAGCUGGACCGGAGGCAUGGAGCUCCCGAGGAUGCCACCGCGUGCCGCGAAGGACGACGGAGGCAUGGAGCUCGCGGGACAUCACCACCAAUGUGUACCUCGUCAAGAUGGAGCCCGCGACACGGAGCCAAUAAUAUAACACACACUCUCGAUGUUGUCUGCAACAUGGAGCCGCGAUGCGGUGCUGUCCGUGACCUAGAGGAGAAGAUGGUGCCAGAUGACGGUCUCCACGACCCGGAGCCCAUGAAGACGAGGCGUGAUGGCGAGGAGGCGACGUGACUUCACCAACACUAACUCCCGAUGGCCCCGUGAGGCGGUGCCCUUGUCUUGGAGGACCGCCGUUAAACACGGCGUCCAGCCGAGAUGAGGCGCCAACCACACCGGCACUGCCGAUACGAACGAUUGUUGGUUUUACACCGACGCUGGUCUCCAUAAGAAUACUCCCGCGAGGCGAACCCCUUGCAUACCCGACGAAGCCGCUACAUCAUCGAGAAGUCCGAGCAGAGCAGGACCCAUGCAACUUCAACACCGACUAAAUCAACAUUGUCAAGACCGACGAGGCGCGCCGGCGAGGGCGAACGUGGCCAGCACAAAGCCAUGUUUUGAGCGGCACGUUUACCGACGAGGACACGGGCUUUGCCGCCGCCCACUCCACACACACACCAGCAUCAUCAUGCAUGGAGAACUCGAAGCGAAGAUGACGAAGACGACCACACGGCUUAAUCGUAGGUAUCUCGCGGAGCAACCCGCGGGAGUAAUUAAUCGGGAGCUUUUCGAGGCCCCGGGAACCAGGAGACCGCACAUCGCCAUAGUCAGGCAGGCCGCGCUAGUAGGCCACGGGGCGCAUUGCUUUUUUAUGGGAUCUUAUAAUUUUGUUUAUCCGAUGAGAUUAAUGAAAUACUUGCUUCACAUACCAUUUUUUGUGUACUAUGUACACUGGCACGCCCGCACACUUUUCUUUUUCCCGGCGCAUGAGAGAAAUCCAUACUCCUUCUCUUCCCUAAUCACGGAGUGCGUAUAAGAUUUUUCUCGUGUCAAACAAAUUGGCACGCCCGCACACUUUUCUUUUCCCCGGCGCAUGAGGGAAAUCCAUACUCCUUCUCUUCCCUUCUCACGGAGUGCUUAUAAGAUUUUUCCCGUGUCAAACAAAUUCAAGUGUCAUUUAUCCAAUUAACCCUCCAAUUAAAUGCGAAACUACAAUAAAAAAAUGUUGGAUUUCAUGCUCACAAGAGAAGCUACAUUGUGUGCCCUUGCCAUUUGCGUUUAAUCAAAUUGUCCUUAGUAAAGAUGACUUUUCGACAUAGAAACUGAAGGAAUACCGUGUCAUGUAGAGGUAAUUUAUAUCAAAAUCAUUAAGAUGUAAAUCCAACUACUGUACCCAAUAAUGCCGAAUAUGCUAAGUGCAUAGAAAAAGAAUCAGUGGUAUGAAGCUCAUCCUACUUAAACAAGUCCUGCUCUCGAAGUUAGUUCUGCCUCUGUAACCUUGUAGGACAAUCUCAUUCCGGUCUACUAAAAUACUGACCAAUUUGGUCACUAGUGCGUACUUUUUUUACUUCCAAAUCUUGAACACCAAGAGCAUCUCCAGCCGCGCCCCCAACAGGCCCUCCCCAGGCAUUUUUUCCGCGCCAGCGCCGAAAAAACGGCCCAGCAGCCCCCCAGAAGCCCGCUUUUCGCCGGCUCGGGCCGAAAUUGGUGUCGGCGGACCCAGGCAGAACCCGGCGCGGGCGCCUGGAGCGCCGGCACAAGUGAAAAGGGGCGUGUGGGUCCGCCCUGUCGGCGAGUCGAGCGCCUCUUUCCACCGUUUCUUCCCGCUUUUCCCCCACUUCCCUCCCAUUUGCCCCUUUCCUCCCGCCAUUCUCCCUCCCGCUCGCCUCCCAGCCGCCCGUCAUGCCGUCGAAGAAGUACGCCGUCCCCCACGCCGCGGCCACAGCUACCGCCUCCGUCGCCGCGCCGAAGCAGAGAAAGCCGAGAGUGCCGCCGUCCAAGCCGUCGGGCAUGUCGAACGCCGACUGGAGGGUGGAAGGACAGCGACGGGAGGCCGUCACCGCCUACCGGCGGAACAGGGCCCUUGCCAAGAAGGCCCAUGAAAACGCAGCGCGCACGACUGCGGGCGCCGCUGCCGCUGCCGCUGACCAGGACGAGGCCGAGGCGGCUCGCGCGGGUAUGAUGAAUCCCCCCGUCAACCACGCGCAGUACGCGCCCUGGGGGUCGCUUGGCUACGCCGACGGGGACGCACACGAUGGGUUCAACCCCAACGUCGUGUUCCCCCAUGGCCACCCGGCCCAGCGCACGCCCUCGCCCGCCUUUGCCGGCGUGCAGUACCCUCCAUACAACUACUCAUCGCCCGUGUACGCGUCCUCCCCGACGCCCCUCUUCGCCAUUGCGCGCUGCCCUUCUCUCACCGCGGCGGCGCCGACGAGACCGACGCCGACAUGGACGAGAUCAUCGCGGAAGGUUCGGCCCCGGCCGCCGCGUCCCCCGGGUUCACCACGGACGAGGCAGUGGAUCUCAGCGGUGGCAUGGAAGGCGAGCUCGGCUAUGUCUACGGCGAUGAGGAACAGGAGGAGCAGGACAAGGAGGACGAGGAGGACGAGGAGGAGCCGGCGAGGGGCUGCAAGAAGAAGAAGGCGCCGGCCAGGCCAGAGCCGCGCAUCAAGUGGGCGUCCAAAGAGGAGGAAUGCCUUGCCGAUGCAUGGAAAGUCGUCUGCCUCGACCCGACCACCGGCGCGAACUAGAGCCUCGAGACGUACUGGGCGCGCAUCAAGGCCGAGUUCGACGAGCGCAAGCUCGUCGACCCCUACUUCAAAGGCGUCUACAUGCAGCGCGGGGCGAAGGCGAUGGCGAACCAUUGGGGGCGUAUCCAGGGGGCGUGCAACAAAUGGCACGGGAUCGUCAAGGAGGUCGCCGGUCGCCCGUAGAGCGGCGCCAGCAUGGAGGAUCAGGUAUGCCACGCCGUUCACCCGCCUCUUUUCGCCGUUCACAAAGGUGCCAAGAAGGGGAAACACGCUGACGCGGCCACAACUCGCGUGCAGGAGUCCAUCCAGCACUGCCUCGCCGACGCACAGGUCCGGGCCGCCCUUCGUGAAGAGAAGACCGAGGCGCGUUGGUCGGCGUUGAUGUUGACCAGCGCCGUCAAGAUCGACCUACUCCGGACCAACGUUGCCGCGAAGAAGAGGAACACCGACCUGGUUUUCCUGCUCGAUAGGACAGACAUGCUCCAGAGAAACGACGAGGCGGUCAAGGCGUGGUACAGGGCGCAUGUCGGCCUCAUCCUGGACCAGCUUCCCUCGACGCCGCCGCCCACGCCCACAACACCCGCGCACACGCCGCCGCCGCCGCCAAGCCCGACCGGUGAUGAUGCCGAGACUGCCCGUAGCAUAGAUGCCACGCCGCCAAGCAAAGAGCACGAUGCCCCGUCAAGCCCACGCACGCCGACUCCGGCGACGCCGGAAGCCGACCUCGCCGCCUGAUGCGCGAUUCCGUCGCGGUGCCGAUACUGCCCGCUUUUUUGUACGCCGAACAUUUAACUCAUCCGGCCACUGAUCGCCGCUUCAUCGCCGAAUUAUGGCGUGUAUUUUGGGCGCGGGAACGACUAUGUUUGAAUUUUGCCGUGGCUUGGGGGGUGGGCUGGGGGCGUGACUGGGAGCUAGGCCGGCCCCAGGGGCCGAACUAGCGCCGGCUCGCCCCCAGGCCACGGUUUUUCUGCGCCCUGGAGGGCCGAACGACUGGAGAUGCUCUAAGGCCACCUUGGUCUUUCGGAGUAACCAAAAUCUCUGACGUGCUAAAUGGUAUUUUGUAUGCUGAUUUGACUGCCAUAAUAAGUAAGAACAACAAAAAUCUAACCUCUUCCAUUUGGGAUCUAAAAAAGGAGAUCACAAAGAUUGGGAGGCUGCUCGACACUUAAUUAAUUAAGAACAAACACCCAUGAUAGGAUAAGUUUUUGGAUCGCUACUCAGGUGCUUCUCUAAAUUAUCUUUUUGAAUGCCAAAGUUCUUAAUAGGGAAUGAACCAUGCCCGCGACACAAAAGGUAUAUAUACUCUUAUAUGGGGUUAUCCAUCUUUUUUCCCGCGAGAGUAGAGUCGAGAUUAGUAGAAAUAGAAGGGGACCAUGAUGUAAGCAACCGCCUGAAAAGUAGUCUCCCAAGUCGUGUAAGCAACAACUUAUUAACGUCAACUACCACGUCAACUACCCAUUGACGUUGGAAGUGAGAGACCCAGAACGCAUGAUGCCAUGUUGCCGGCGCAUUUGUUGGGCAAUCUAAGGUCAGAAGUGUUGUUGCACCGUGGAGUACGGUCGCAGCAUCCACAUGUGCACCAUGUUCUUACACUUGUUCAAGGCCAUCUGCCCUAGGGCCUAUUGCUAUGCCUUUGGGGGCAUCUCAUGCCUCAACCGAUGCGUCAAUUCUCAUUUUGCCCACCACAACCUAAUUGCUUCGUCACUAUCAAACACUUUAUAUAUUACUGAAUCCAAAACCUGAAUGAAUAAUUGGGUAGAACAUGAAUGCAUGUUGAAGCCAACCAGCUCUAACGAAAUGGUAUGACGAACACACAACUUAAGUGCCUAACAAGUCUUUAGACAAGAGGAGGUUUGUUAUUUAGUUCUCUUAUAGAACCAUGCAAAUUCACCUAAUGUGGAAAACAAAAGCAAUUGAUCUCACCAUAGUUCAAUUAUUGCAUAUCAAUACGUCUCCAGGAAGGAAGAAGAGACGCACACAAAGAGAACUAUGCUAAAAACAUUAACACAAGCUAGACGAAUAUGGUGGUGUUGGUGCAAUGGAGCAUUAGGGCAUCUCCAGCCGUUGCCCCCCCAGGAGGCGCAAAAAAUCGCCCCCUGGGGGCGCACCGGCGCUAAACCGCGCACUUGGGGCGUGAUGCCCCCCAGUCGCGGCGCCCACGGUUAGUCAAAAAAGUCAAACACGGCGCAAAAACGACUCAAAUUUAACGCAAACAUCGGCGAGUUCGUUCAAACUUAAAUAUAUUUUACAAAAAAAGAAAAAAAAAUACCGUGGGCUACCCCCGCCGUCUCCCUCGCCGCCCGCCUCGCCGCCCGCCCACGCGGUUCUACAUGCCGAGGAGGCUGUAGAACCGCGUGUAGUCACCACCGUCGUCGUCAUCGUCGUCGUCGUCGUCGUCGCCGCCGCCUACGCCUCCGCCGUCCCUGCUGCAUCCCUCCCCCGGUUGGCGCGGCGAGUUGGACGGUCCGGGGGCGGCGUCGUCGUCGUCGUCAUCGCUGUCGAGGACCACGACGUCGUGCUCGUCCUCGCGCCCACGCUUGCGGGCAGCGAUCUCCUCCAGGGCCCGACGCUGCCGGACCAUCUCGUCGCGGAGGUAGUCGUCCCGCGCCCACUGCAUGGCGUCCUCGUCGGAGAAGCCGCGCGGGGCUAACUCCUCAUACUCCGUGGGGAGGCCGGGCUCCAGCUUGGGCUCGACGAGGACGAAGCAUCCGCCGGUGGGUGGAGAGGCGUUGGCGCCGAUGCGGACGCCGGAGCUGCGGGUGCACGCGCUGACCGGUGUGUCCUGGGGCUCCGGCUUGACGGGGCGGAGGCAGGGCGAGCCGCCGAACGAGGAGGAGGACCCCCCGGUCUCCAUGCGCCUCGGGGUCCAGGAGCUUCCCGACGGCGUGAGAAGGAAGGGGGAGCGGGGUACUCGAGGCGCGGCGUGUUGCCGCCCUCGAUGUACUCGAGGACGACCUCCAACGUGUGCCCGGGCACACCCCACCACCGACGCCGGCCGGCGGCGUUGAGCCUGCCGGAGGGCACGACGCCGUUGGUGGCCUCGAGCUGCUGGGCAUGACGGCGGCGGAAGUAAGGGUCCCAGAGCGGGCUGUCGGGGACGUACCGUGGCCCCUCCCUCGCCGCACGCGGCAGGUUCGAGCGGAUGCGUGCGAUCUCAGCACGCCGCGCCGCGCCGGUGGGUACCGGGGGCACCGGCACGCCGCCCGCGCUGAUCCUCCAUGCCCCGGGCACCCGCAUGUCCAGCGGGACCGGGUACUCGGCCUCGUAAAGGAGGCGAGCCUCGUCUUCAUGAAGAUGGCGGCGGCUGAAGCCGUUUGCCGCCGCGCCGUCGCCUGGGAAGCGCUCGGCCAUGGGUGUGAACUGGAGACGGCAAAAGAGAGGAGAGGAGAGGGAGGAACGACGACGGCGGGAGAGUGUGAGUCGCCGAGUGCGCCGAGUGCGCCGGGGCUCGUCAUAUAUAGGCCGAGGCGUGCGUGCCACCGUGUGUACGCGUGGCGGGCGAGGGAGGGCGAGGGACGCGCGUCGUCCGGUCUUCACUGCGCCGCCCGUGAGGCAUCAAUGGUGCAGCCUGACCGGGCGGCAGCGCGCGGCAGCUUUGGCAUUGAUUCGCCACGGGAAACGAGGCGAUGAGGACGACGAAGGGCCGAGAAGAGAGCCGUGUCGCUGACGCGGCGGGCCCGCGGCUUUUUCACGCCAAAACAGUUCGCCCUGCGCCCCCGGGCGCCCCCCAACGCGCCGGGUUCGGGUUGGGUCCGCCGGCGCUAUUUUCGGACCAAGCCGGCAAAAAUCAGGCUCCUGGGGGCGCGACUGGGCCGUUUUUUCGGCCCUGGCGCGAAAAAAACGUCUGGGGAGGCCUUCCUGGGGGCGCGGCUGGAGAUGCCCUUAGAACCCUUCCCUAGGGUUGACAAGCCUCUCGACCCGCAUGAUGACGUGUUUUCCGGUGGGUAUACUUGACUAGAAGACCCCAGGUGGGCCUCACCAUGUCUAUGAACACGUUGAACUGCCACUCAUUCACCGCGUCAAUCACCCGUUGCACCAAAUAAUUGGCAUAUUGGUGGAUCAUCAUACCCUACAUGACCAAGCAACCACACAAAGAUUAGUCAUGUACAUAUGGAUAAGUAAGAUCUUAAGAGGCAGAGAUAAAAGACCGUCUUGUAUCCUAGGAAAGCCUCUCUGGUCGCUCCUGGGACUCACAGGGCGAACGUUGCCGCCGACCGAGGAACCCUCCCCAGCGCUCCUUCCCCUUGCCGCCACCGACGGCGGCCUCCGUCCGGCCCGUGGCAGUGGCGGGCCGGGACGCCUCCUCUCCUCUCCCCUGCUCCCUUCACGGGCCCCUCCCUCUCCCACCAUGUUCGGGCUGGAACUCGCCCCUGCUGUCUCCUCUCGCCGCGGCGGCUGUGGCCUGCUGCGUGGAGGCGCAUCCCUCGACGACUGUGGAGGUGAGCUGGGCUGCUCCCAUCGGGUCCUGGUGGCGCGGCUCCUUGCGGGUGGUUGGCAGUCGUGGAGGUGGUUCCCGGCCACCGCUAGGGGCUAGAUCCACCAGAUUCUGCGGGCUCCAGGUCCGAUCUGGUGGCAUCCUUGGGCAAUGGCCCCUCCCUUGUGGGAGAAUCGAUUAUAACCCCCCUAGUUCAUCUGCCUUUGCUCAUACACUCCUUUCUUUGUCUGCCUUGCUUAUGAGCCCCUUGUUGCUCAAAUUUCUUGACCAUAGCACCCUUUUCAUGUUUAGCUAGACCAUUAUGCAACUAACAACGAUUCUCACCCCUCUGCAUCCACUGCUGCCAUUCCCAUGAGCUUGACAAACUCCGUGCAGUCAUCCCCACACCUCGGCCGCGCCUCCCACGAGGGACCUAAAUGUCGUGUUGGUGCUUCUUCUACCGGCAACCCCAGCCCAAGCUCCUCCCGCCGGCAGCCCCAGCCCAAGCUCCUCCGCCGCCAUUCCCGUGAAACUCAACAACCUCCGCGCAUGCGGGGCGGAAGGCCGGAUCCCCCUUGAAGCCUCCAGCGCCAUGGCGGCUUCUCCCUCCAUGCUACAUCCACCGCCAUUGCCCGUCUCCAACCGAAUCCAGCUCUCUCUCCGCGCGCCGUGACUCGAAUCCCCUCCCCUUGUGGAAACAGACCAGAGGAUAUGCAGGCCUAGUCCCGUGAAGAAAAGACAAGGGAGAAUAUUUCAGUCUUUUGGUUAUCUGUAUAACAACCGAUUCGGAAUUAGGUGAUGAAUUAAUGCUUAAACGUGCAAAAGGGGCUUAUGAUCAAGAGGCAAAUCAAACAAAGGGGUUCAAAAGCAAGGCAGACAAAGAAAGGGGCGUAUGAGCAAGCAGAUGAACUAGGGGGGUUAUAAUCGAUUCUCCCCUCUCUCGUGGGUGGCCCUCGUGGCUGCUUCUUCAGGGUGCCCGAUUCCCAGAUCUACGGUUCGUCUCCGUGUGGGUGCAAAGGGCAAGAUUUGGGUGCAGUGGGUGGUGGAUUUGCACAAGUGCGGUAGUAGGGCGGCCGGCUGCGUGCUUGCGGUCCACCGUCAUGUGGGUGGUGGAUGAGGGUAGUUUCUAUUGGUCUCCAGAACGGCAGUUCCGGACGAUGGGCAGGAUGACACCAUUUCAGCGGGUGUCGCCAUGCGGGUGCUCUUAUGUCGCAUCGACUGCUUUGGCAGCGAGGUGGUCCAUUUGGGGGCAUCCGUCAUGCGGGUGUGUUCUUCACAGCCAUGCCGCUUUGCUUCGGGCGUCGUCUGCAUCUUGCCUUAGCCGCCCAUGGCUAAUGGACCUAGUAGGUGCGGUCUUUUCCCAAGCGGAAGUUUUUUCCCACUACAAGAAAUAUGUCAACUUGUGACCACCACUAUUGGUCACUGAAAGGUCACAAAUUUCCAUUUGCAACCUUUUUGUGACCAAAAACAGAAGGUCAAAAUCUGGCCGUCAUAAACUGACUAUAGCGACCUUUCUUCUGGAAUGGUCGAAGACGUUUAUGACCAAAAUACGUCUACUGUGGCGUUUUGGUCACUAGCAACCUCCCCAGGCCACGUAGGCGUCCAGCGUGGCAAGCUGAUGUGGCACAAGAUUCAGCCCGGUCCAAUUCAGUUUUCCACAUGGGCCUAGCCCAACAAUUCAGCCUUUUUAAUGCAUUUUUUCUUGUUAAUUUUCACUAGCUACAUGGGCUUGGGCCAUUAAUUCGGCUUUUUUCUAAGAUGCAGCCUUCUACUAAUUUUUUAUUUUUGUCCUUUUUUUUGCCACUAGUCCCACCAAUCAGAUUGGUCCCACUUGUCAUUCUUAUCACAAAAUUGACCCCACACAUCAAAAAUUUCAAAAUCUAUCAAACAACCAUUAUAACUUGGACCCCCUUGUCAGGUUUCCAUUUGACGGGUAUUCAAAUCACAUACACAAUCAUUAUUUCAAACAAUCCAAAUAGCAAAUGAAAUUCGUCCAAAACAACACGGCACUAGUCUAUUACAAACGUUACAGUAUACUACAGCCUAGAUAAGCCUACUACUGCCUACAUUUACAACACAUAAUAUGCUAGUCUUUGUUGAUAUGCUUCACAGCUUCGAACUUGGAUUCACACUUCACCUGUGCAAAAAACAAGAAUGAACAUAUAAGAAUAAGAAUGUGUACAGAACAUCAAACAGUAGCCAAUGAGGGAUCCAAUAACUUAUAAGCAAGAAUUGACAGCAAAUGAGAUGUACAUAAAUAGUAUGACUAACACUAACCAGUAUGCGUUCAUGGAGUUACUAAAAUGUUCUCACUAGCUAGGAUUUUUAGUGUACAAUAUACUGACAUGUGCAACUCUCUAAACUGAUCAUAGAAAUGAAAAAUGUAGGUGCGCUGCACGCCAGAUCAUCAUAUUUGAGCAUUAAUAUUUAUGUAUUACUACAACACUAGGAGUACACAUCAACUAGUAGCAGAACUAGAAGAAAUAACAAACCAAAGAUGGAUACAAACUAGUGACUAAGUACAAACUAUUAUGUCACUGCUCUCCUGCAAUUCUCUAUACAAAAAGACAAUGAAACAAAAAAGAUGGAACCAUCCACUGCCAUUCAUGCACAAAAUAUCGAACCAUCAACUGCCAGAAAAAAAACAUGAAACACCAUCCACUUCAACCGCCACAAGUCACAUGGUAAAGGUUCAGACUAAACUGGGACAAAAUGCCAUGCCGCGGUCUAUGCUCUCGAUACAAACAGACACAAAACUACAAACAGCUAACGGUAAGAAGCGAAAAACUGUAACAUCUAAUGGUAUUGCAUAUGCACAGAAGCAUUAUAUACUCGUAUAUUGCAACGAGCGUUUGCCUCGAAUCCUUUAGGUAGAACCGUAGAGGCCAAAAAUGCUUUUCUGCAGAGACAAUCAAUAUAUGCAGAAAUUGUUGGCCUUUACAGUGCACAUGCCUGCAGGCUUAGCAGCUUGUGUGAGCUGGAAACUGGCCUGGUCAGUCAGGCACACAAUUAUGCAGCCGGUAAAAGGAACAAAUAAUUAAAAGAGCCAACAAGAACUCAUACAAAAGCAACUCAAUAAUACCAGGACGUCUUCCAUUGUUCUCUAUACAUUUUCCAUUCCAUGUUUGAAUUUGUUCCAUUUAUUAUUUGCCGCAGAAAAUGAAAUCAGAAAGUCACAACAGUACAUUCAGACAUUUACUCCAUGAACAGACAGGUUGGCCGCUGGAGAGAGAUAAUCAAGCAGCUUACGCGGCAACUGGUCCAAGCCAAGAAAACAUGGGGAACAGGCAAGCGGCCAAUGCACGCCCAGCAGCAGCACUGCCAUGCACUGGGCGCUCCCCUCCUUUCUACGACCCGAGAGCAGAGCGCAGCGACCAUAUGCGUGGCGAUACAGGUACACGGGCAGGCAGAGGUAGACGGCCUGGCUGGCCGCCCUGCUGCAAGAUAGACGGCGCGCGGCGCGCAUCUCCAUGCAUGCGCCGGACGGCCGACAGCCCCCUGUUUUUAGAAAAGAUGGGAUUGCCGCCGAUGCUAUAGUAAACCAUCACAGGAUGCAGCUGAGCUCGACGAAAAUGCCACAAAUGUAACAUCUAACGGUUUUGUAUCCGUUGGCACAUGGUGUUUUUAGAGUGCACAUAGAGCAACAUUCAGUAUGACAUGAUUAUUAUUUAUUUUUUGACCAAAUUGCAUUCACUUUGACAUAAUAAAUUAGUAACAUCUAAUGCAAUACAUGAUGGAAACAGACCAACAGAGUGGGAGAGAGGGGAGUCACCACCUUGGUGGCCUUGGUGGGCAGGCCCUUGGACCUUCUGCUCCUUCAAACUCGCAGGACCUUGGUGAUGGUCUGCACAAACCGCACCUCCAUGAACAAAUACUACAGAAUAAGAAGACAAGGGGAAGAUGGAUGAACAAGGGCAUAGUGCUGAACCUCCAUAGAUGCCAAAUCAGGCACCUUGGUGCGCUCGGUGGAGCGGGCUGGGGUACAGAUCUCCCAGUCGAAGUUUCCUGCAACCAACCCAAACCAACAGAGAAGAGAAGCAUUCAUCAGGGAAUGGAAGGGAAGGGGAUAGAUGAAGAGGAAAUAGAGAGAGGGGGGUGGACCUUGAUGCGGCGGCUGCUUCUGCUUUUCCUCGUGCUGGAGGAAGAAGGACAAUCCAUGGCGUCUCGAGCAGAGGAAGCUCCACUCCAUGGCGCCUGCCUAUAGAACGAGACGAGACGGGGUCAGAGAGCGAGAGAAGAAGAGGAGGAGAAGGAGGGGAGUAGGGAUUCAUACCAAGCAUUGUCGUCGAGGCGAGCCCUGUGCCUGCGCCCUGCGGUCGGUCGCCAUGGCCGGCGGAUAGGGUUUCCGGCGCGGGCAAGGGUCGAGAGAGGGCGGGUCUGACCGCGGGCUGAGCAGCUCUAGCGGAUCUGCGUCCAUGGCGGCCUCCUUGCACAGAGAAGUACAGAGGGGAUUAAGACUUGAAAGAAAAAAAGGGAGACACAAACAGAGGAAGGAAGAAGAGCGGGGGAACACAUCGACCUGCGGGACUUCGAUCGACGGCGGAGCUGCUCCGGCGAGGCGCGAGGCCGAGGCAGCGGAGACCAAGGCUGGAUCGCGUUGGAUCUCCCUCCCUCGGGUUCUUCUCUACCUUCUGGUGAGGGAAGGGGAGGGGCGAGAGGAGGAGGGCGUGGGGGAUCAGAUCUCUUCUUAUGAGAGGAGGUGAGGGGAGGGGAGGGCAGAGGUCGUGGCCGGCGGCGAGGUGAGGGAGNNNNNNNNNNNNNNNNNNNNNNNNNNNNNNNNNNNNNNNNNNNNNNNNNNNNNNNNNNNNNNNNNNNNNNNNNNNNNNNNNNNNNNNNNNNNNNNNNNNNNNNNNNNNNNNNNNNNNNNNNNNNNNNNNNNNNNNNNNNNNNNNNNNNNNNNNNNNNNNNNNNNNNNNNNNNNNNNNNNNNNNNNNNNNNNNNNNNNNNNNNNNNNNNNNNNNNNNNNNNNNNNNNNNNNNNNNNNNNNNNNNNNNNNNNNNNNNNNNNNNNNNNNNNNNNNNNNNNNNNNNNNNNNNNNNNNNNNNNNNNNNNNNNNNNNNNNNNNNNNNNNNGUGGGCGGCGCGGCGGCAGGUAGGGUUUGGGAGGGAGACGAUGGUGGGAUGGGAUCGGGGUGGGUGGGAGACGAGUGGGACGAAUGGGAUCGGGGUGGGUGGGGCCGUGUGGUUUCCCUUUUUAUUUAAUUUUUUAAUUUUUUGUUUUCUAUAGAUAGAUGGAUGGAUGUGGGAUGAUGGAUGGAUGGAUGGGCGCCAUGUCAUUGAUCCGUGUCAAACCAACUCCACCAAUGGGAAUAGAGUAUAUGUGAUUUGUGUUUUUUGUUUUGUUUUUCUUCUACUUUUACACAUGAAAAAAAAAUCAAAAAAAUGGUCUCAUAUUGCGCACAAGGGUGCAUCUUGGAAUUCCAAACAAUGUUGCCUAAGGGAGUUUUCAUUUUCUUUGCACGGAAAAUUCAUUUUCCAGUUUCCGAGUGCCCGAAAUGAGGUUUUUUGUGAAGGAACUACCAAAUAAUUGUUGCAAAAAUGGACCAAAUCAAUUUUAUAAAAUACUAGGCCAUGUUUAAUGCACAAUUGACAAAAUGGUUGGGUGAAAAAAGUUUUGAUCCACCUCUGAUGAAAAAGACAAAUUGUCGUCGAUUCAGCUGGAAACGGGUCAAAUUUGAACUGUAGCUGCCUCAUAGUUUGCUCUUUAUUUUUUUCCAAAAAUCAUUUCUAGGUACAUAAGUAUCUAUUUAAUCAUAGAAACACCAAAAAAAUUCCAAGAUUCAACCACUAGCUAGGAACGGUCAAGCCCGCCAUUUUGACCGCAUUUUGAAACGGGCAUAAAAAAUUCAAAAAAAAAUCAAAAAAUUGGAAAACCUUCACAUUGUGUCAUUAUAUGUGACCAAGUUUCUAGGAAAAAUAAUAAACUUGUAAUACGGUAAUUAUUUUAAAAAAGUGUUCUCAGAAACGAGCUAUCAAGUGUGAAGAUUCAUGGCUUUUGAAGCCAAAUGAUCAAUCUUAUGGCCACAUUCAUGGCAUAGUUUGUUCAAAUGAUCUAAUAUUGUGCACAAGGGUGCAUCUUGGAAUUCCAAACAAUGUUGCCUAAGGAAGUUUUCAUUUUCUUUGCACGGAAAAUUCAUUUUUCAUUUUCCGAGUGCCCGAAAUGAGGUUUUUUUGUGAAGGAACUACCAAAUGAUUGUUGCACAAAUGGACCAAAUCAAUUUUAUAAAAUACUAGGCCAUAUAUAAUGUACAAUUGACAAAAUGGUUGGGUGAAAAAAGUUUUGAUCCACCUCUGAUGAAAAAGACAAAUUGUCGUCGAUUCAGUUGGAAACGGGUCAAAUUUGAAGUGUAGCUGCCUCAUAGUUUGCUCCUUAUUUUUUCCAAAAAUCAUUUCUAGUUACAUAAGGACCUAUUUAAUCAUAGAAACACCAAAAAAAUUCCAAGAUUCAGCCACUAGCUAGGAAGGGUCAAGCCCGCCAUUUUGACCGCAUUUUGAAACGAGCAUAAAAAAUUCAAAAAAAAUCAAAAAAUUGGAAAACCUUCGCAUUGUGUCAUUAUAUGUGACCAAGUUUCCAAGAAAAAUAAUAAACUUGUAAUACGGUAAUUAUUUUAAAAAAGUGUUCUCAGAAAUGAGCUAUCAAGUGUGAAGAUUAAUGGCUUUCAAGCCAAAUGAUCAAUCUUAUGGCCACAUUCAUGGCAUAGUUUGUUCAAAUGAUCUCAUAUUGUGCACAAGGGUGCAUAUUGGAAUAGCAAACAAUGUUUCCUAAGGAAGUUUUCAUUUUCGUUGGACGAAAAAACCAUUUUCCAUUUUCCGAGUGCCCGAAAGGAGGUUUUUUUGUGAAGGAACUACCAAAUAAUUGUUGCAAAAUUGGACCAAAUCAUUUUUAUAAAAUACUAGGCCAUAUUUAAUGCACAAUUGACAAAAUGGUCUAGUGUAAAUUUUUUUGAUCCACCUCUCGUGAAAAAGACAAAUUUCUGCCGAUUUAGUUGGAAGCGGGUCAAAUUUGAACUGCAGCUGCCUCAUAGUUUGCUAUUUAUUUUUUCCAAAAAUCAUUUCUAGUUACAUAAGGACCCAUUUAAUCAUAAAUACAUGGUUUGAUGGCGAUACGUCGAGGUUUGGGCGGUGGCCGAGGGCCCCAACUCUAGAGCGCGUAAACUCGCAUGCCCGCCGCGUGGUCACCGCGUGACCAUGGCGUUGCCAUGUGUUCUGGGCGGCCUAGGCAUAUCUAGUGGGUUGGGCACUCCCCAGGUUGGUGCUAGAAAGAAAAUUACAACAUAAGAUUCUCACGAGGAGACAAAUCGAUGCUCAUACAUGAAUUAGCAGCCAAGUGUUUGAUUAGCGGUACGGGAAAUGUACAUGGCUAAUGGGCGUGAGUUUUGGCUGCGGAUGAUCAGUUACUAAGAAGACCGUUUUCACAAAUUUUUAGCUCAAAAGGAGGAGCCUAGGUGGUACUUGCUUUGCAAACUACCACACUGGACAUAACUACGAAUGUUGAAGCUCGGCUCAAAAUAAUAAAUGGAUUGAGCUGGCAUUUGGUGGAGGAUGGUUAUUUGGGCAUAGGAAAGCACUGUAGAAAAUGGAUGCUAUUUGGACAUGCCAAAGUGGUACUUCCUUCACAAACUGUUAUUCUGAACAGAAUAGGAAAAUGAAUAUUUUUGAAUUAUUUUUGAACUAGGCAAGGAAGGUUUUUACAUAUUUGACAAAGAUAUGACCCAAAGAAUUUAUGAGAUUUGUUUGGGAAUUUUGGCCAUGACAGAAAUAUAGGUUGCUUCACAACCUAGGGCAAAAACUGCCACAUGGACAUGACACAUAGGCAAAACUGAUGAGAUGGCACCUAGUCAUCGCAACCCACCACAAUUUACAAGGCUAUGACCAUCUAUAUUGGUCGUUAACAACUAGAAAUAAGGCAGCGAACUAGCGAUGUUUGCUUUAUGACCAUUUCCUCUAAUGAAAUUAUGACCUUUCUGACCAAAAUGGUCAUUAUGGUUUAGGGUUUAGAGCCCCCCAGAUAGCUUUUGACCAAUUGGUCUAAAAUGGUCAUAAAUUUAUGACCAAUUCCUCGAGGGUCACUGACAGAAGGUCAUAAGUUGACAUAUUUCUUGUAGUGUCCGGCGGUGUCGGUGUCGGUGAUAGCGACGCUUCUGUGUGCUGUUCCCCUCCUUGGAGGUGUCACCAUGGGUGACCUGCAUCAACCAUGGGCUCUGGGUGAAAACUCUUAGUUUGACAUGUUCCAGACCGGGUGGUGGUGGCGUUGUGGGGUCGUUUCCUCCUUGGAGGCUCCUUCCUGUGAGCAAGUUCCCAUUUUACUGGUUUCUCGGGUAAUCUGUGUGGAUGAAAACUUCUCCUCGCCAUGUUGAGGAGCCAUGCUUCAAUGGUAGCGCAUUGUUGAGGAUCUAGGAUCUACAAGCUGGAUGUGCUCGAAGGCCUCCCUCUAUUGUCUUGGCAUUAGCUUCCAUUUGCGCUCUAGGGUGUUGAGCACUCCAUCGCCCGACGGUGCAGCGCCCUUCGAGCUGGGGCAAGGAGCUAGGGGGCUUCUUAUGGCGAUGGAACAAGAUGGCACUGAUCUGCCGGACGCACAAGCAAUGGCAAUGGCAUAGCUUCCUCUGCCGGCUGGUCUCCUUCUCGAGUUAGCUUCCUUUGCGGCGUUGGUCCUCCCAUCAUGUUUGGAGGGCCCUGAUGUCUUGAUGUUCUGUUUUCUGAGCCUUGUUGCUACUCCUGGGCAUCCAUGUAUCUUGCCGGAGUUUUUCUUUUGUUUUGUUGUAUAGCGGUGUAUUGUUGCGUUGGUUGUAAGGGGUUUAUCAAUUCCAUCCUCUUUUCCAAAAAGAGGCAGAGACCAAGAGAUGGUCGGUAGUUUGACCAUCGCCUGCACAGAGGAUCUCAUCUACGACUAGCUUGUGAUCGUCGUAGAGCUGCCGUAGAUUAGGCACUUCGACUUUGGAAGAGUGCUUUUGCUGGUUCAUAUGUACUAGUACUAUUCUCGUGACGAGGCCCUCCAUGCUCCACAAUGUGCUACACCAUGUCCAUACAGGUAAAAAAAUUUGUUUAGCUGAGAUAUCAUUUCACGAAUUACAAACCACUCCAUACUGUACAUGUACAACAUAGUUUCCAUAUGGGUCUUUUUUCGAAAAAGGGAGCAAGCAUCGGCUUCUAUAUCAAGCGAUGCACACAGUCAUAUUAUUAAUUAUUUAACAAAGAUCUGACAAAAACAUAAACCAAACAACUCAAAGUCAUCACCCACACCUAGAAACUCAACAAUGGGGAAUGCCCCCAUGCCCGGUAACCGCCGAUCAGUCCGCAUGACGUACCAGAAGCAAACACCCGGUGCAGUAGAGCCAAAGCAUACACCACCUGUACAAGCUUCAGAAGCCGCCACCACCAUCAUACUGCUAACCCAUCUUCAAGAAAGAGAUCCACAUCACCCUUACCAAGCCGGUCAGCCGUCGAUGCCGUCACGGUGCCAAAUAUCACCACUGCCUCUGCACUCGUCCAUCAAGACGCAUCCACCGCCGAGAUUCCAUUGCACCAUGCCUCUGAGGUUCGACGGCGUUGACACAGUAGAUACGACGCCGCUCCACCUCUGGACCCCUCCAGCCAACACUUGUUCCAACAACGAUGCCCCCAAGAGGGGGUGUGCUGCCAGACACCACCAUCAUCCAAACUGGAAGACCCAAAUUCAGGGUUUUCCCAAGAGAAAACGACCCUUCUCGGCAAGUCUACGCGGUGAUCCAACGCGGCUACGCCUUCACCCUUUCUCCGGCAAAGAUGAGUUUCAAAACAGUGCCUCCAAGAAGGUAGAUGAUGCCACAGGCUGCCACUGUCCGGCUCGGCAAGCCAAACCUGAGGUUUCCCUCUGAGCUUGAUGGGACCUCCACCGUGAUGAUGCGCUCCAAGGAGGUUAGCAGUGUCCGUAGACGUCGCCGCACCAUCUGCGCUGUGAAAAGAAAGCAAUGCAUAAGCUCUGGUUCCUGAUACUGUUCGAAAGUAGUGCAAAGAAAAGCGGUACUUCCCAGCAGAUCCGGGCAAAAGUUUUCUCCUCGGCGGUAGUCCCUCGAACCAGGAGAGCGGGAGGCAGAAGUGCUCGUCGGAGACGCCCACUAACGUAGAAGGAACGACUACUUCAAGCAAAACAAAUCCAGGAACAUUGCAUGUACCCAUCCAACCCGACUCGACUUGAGGAGCCGCCGUCACCGGAGAGAGGAUCCGGGCACGCCAGCCCUGGAUCUGUUAGGAAUAAGCCAUGCGUUCAUGUGUGUGCGUGUCUGUGGCCGUGGCGAUGUUGAGCAGGCCGCCUCCUGCGCAUUGGGCGCGCCGUGGACGUGGCCAGGCGGAUCACCAGCACUCAUUUCUGUUGGAGAGUUUCCAGGGAGUAAGUGCACGUAGGGAGUAGCCACCGCAUGCGGUUAGUGGCUAAUGUGGUGGUUAGUCUGUUGUUGGCGAACUAGCGCAUGCAUGGGUUAGUGGCCGGGUCUUGCGUGAGUGCGUGAGUGUGCUGGUGUGUGUGCUAACCUGGGUAUAAAAAGCCCUCCGCUGUACUGCUCGGGUGUGCGUGUGGCUCAAGUUGUUGCUCGAGGAAAAGACCGUCGUUGCGGCAGGCAUAUGUGCGCUGGAAAAACACCACCGAGUCUUGUGUCUUCUUUUUCUUCUAUAUUUGUUCGUGCGAGAGAGAGAGAGCGAGAGGGAGCUGGGCACCGGCGCAAAGAGCAAGCUAGGGCUUGACGCCAACAGGAUCUGCCUCCAAUCCCUGCGGCCCAUCACCGUGCCAUCCUCCACGCGCCGGAGAACUCACACCCCAUGAUGCCCGGCCUGUGCCAUGCCCUAGCCGAUGACACUGGCCUGCGCGGGUCUCCCCGCGCAAGAGGACAAGAAAGCCCUGCUGCCGCCAGCGCCAACCAGGCUUUACCCGUCCACGCCCUUUGGUGGCGGUGAGGAAGUAUGGAGGAGGGGAGGGAACCGAUGGUGGCCGGUGUUGGAUGCCCCGGUGUGGCUGGAGGAGCCGCACGGGAGCAAUCCCCUUUUUUCUUGGAGAUUCUUUUUUUUUCAUAUGGGUCUACCAAUAGCUCGUUCAUGUAAUAUCAAGAAUCUUCGCUAUAAGGCAUGCAUAAUUUGUGGAUCUAUGAAGAACUUGAGUAUUUCUAGGAAAAUCAAGAUGGGAAGAAUAGUUAGUGAACAUCUAAAAACAAACAUCAAAAUAUGGAAGCCAGUCAAAAGUGCAAUGCUCAAACUGAAAACCUGAACGACAUGGCAUCUAAAAGGGUGGGAGGACAGCAGUUUAGCCUUACCACAUAUGCGUCUAUGGAUGAAUAGAAUAUAUUAUGAAGGUACAUAUUCUAUACAUUUCUGAACGAGGUUGUAUAUUAUGGAUGAAUAGACUGGUUGAUCACAGACGCAUAUCGUUGCUACCAAAAUCCUUAGCCAUCUCUAUCUACUAAUCAACGUCACUUAUUUCAGAAGCCUGAAGAAAUCGACACCGGAUUAGUGACAAAGCUCACGGCAAAAUGAUAUGGCAUAUCAUGGUACACACUAAAGCAGAAACAAACAAAACCAGUCUAAACUAUUUUGUGCAUUUCACACAAUAUGAUAUGAUAUUUAUAGCAGAAGCUAUCUAAGAUAUAAGAACACCUCAACAAGAGAAUAAGAGAUAAUCAACAGUUCAUAAUCAACGUCUUGGUUAAAUUACAUUGUAGCUUACAUGAGCAUUACACAACAGUCACAUUUCUUAUUUCUUUCCAUCGCAAAAUGUUUGAAAAAUAUAGUGUCCAGUUUACCUUCUGGAUCACUCGACGACUAUAGAGAUGAAGGCUUUAAUCCAACACAUGUCCAAUUAUAUCAUCGAUAAGUUUCCUUUUCUAGAUCGGUGGUCCAUGCUCUAGAAGCUGUUGAAAAAAAGGUAAGAAUGUUAUUUUGUUUACAUUGAGGAAGCCCAACAUCCUAGAGCCUUAAGUUACAAAAGACGUGGGAAUUGGAGAAAGAAACCUUCUGGAUUACGUAAUUAGCAAGGACGUCCAUGACUAGUGUAUAGACAUGAAGUUGGAUUUCAUUGGAGGCAAGUUUGCGGCCAUAGGUAGGCUCUAGAAGCUUCUUGUUGUGCCUUGGUGCCCUCCUAUCACACCUUGGUUGUGGGCGCCUAGGCACCCUGUCGGCCCUCGUGGCCCAAGUCCAGGUCUCCUAAUGCUCUUUGGUGCAAAAUCCAUCCUCAUAUUUUUAUUGAUUUUUUGAAGGUUUGAAAUACCUAUUUUUCUUGAAAAUGGAAAACAGAAACUCACACGGGGUACUAUAUUCAUAGGUUAGUCCAAAUAAACUUUUGUACAUAAAUGGUGGAAAUGUGGUAUGAUCAAUGCAAAAGAUUAUAGAUACACUGAAGGUGUGUAGAUCAUUUAUUUUUAAAUUUAAUAUUGUCUGAAGCAGAUACAAUGAAACAACAUUUUAUCAUGAGAUGGAGUUAACCUUCCUCAUGGUAAUAUGUGUUAAUAUAUUGCCAUAUGAGGCAAUUGUAAGCAAUUCUUAUUAUUAUACAUCAGACUUCCUAAGUUGCAAUCAUGUUCUUCCUUUCUUAUCAAUUUCAAAACUUACAAUGCAUUCUAUCCUCCACUGUGUACGUGAUAUCAUGCAAUUGAAUAAUAUUAGUGCUUCUGGCAAAUCCAAUGAGUUACAUUUUAUACAAAGAGCAAACAUAUUCAAGUAAACUUUUGUUAUUAACCACACAUCCAGAUAUUUUACAGCAAGAUAGUACAUACUUUCAGAAAAACAACCAGGAUCACAACGAUUCAGUACUCAAAAUAUAUUUGAAGUGCCAAAUUAUUUCACAACACAAAACUUAUUCUUGGCGCCCCAACUUUAGUUCGCCAUAGAAACAUAUCAAAUAUCCAUAGCAACGAAUGUUAGAGUUUUCAAGUCAAGGAGAACACAUGAAUUAUGCAUUACGGAAAUAUUGCAUAGAACACUAUGCUAUCUAUUUCAUACCAUCCACAUAGUAUGCCGUCUAUAAUAAAGUGGUUACUAUAACCAGGUCAUCAUUUCUCUUGAAGAACUGCAUCAUG
rnacentral:lncRNA from 1 species